rnacentral:lncRNA from 1 species
UUGUUUGCUAUAUUGAAAAAGAAUUAUUUGAAGCGGUCACAAAUGAAAAUGUGAUAAAAAGGUUUCAAUUGUUAAAUGAGCGUCGGGUAGUUUUGUAAGAUGUUUUAAAAGUUUUAUAUGACAAUUUUAUGUUUUUCAAUAAUUUAGUAUUUGAUGGUUUUUACUAUUUUUUUGCCCCCGUUGAAUAAAUUUUCUAGAUCCACCCCUGCUCAUGGGCAUAUAUAUCUAUCUAGCUAUACUCGAUUACAUUUGGUUAACUCAUGAGAAAGACUAUUUAGAUAGAUUUUUAUACUCUCAACAUGACCCUCACAUUACAUAAAGUUAAAAAUUCUUAAGAAAUAUAGUAGAUGUCACUUCAAUCCUUGUUCAAUUUCCAAAAUCACCUCAAGUCCCUUUAAUUAGUUUUGCUGAUUGGACUCGUUGACAUUGAGUUGUUGGAGCAUGUUUGGAUCAGUUUGAUGCUUGUUUGAUCCCUCAAAGAGUUUGUGGCUUUGCAUAACUUCACUUGCUGACAUCUUCAGUUGUUGGAGUUCUACACUUAAUCGUUCAUUAUCUGCUAACACCACCUUCAUCAAUUGCGCUUCUACGCUAAGUUCUUCCGUCAACGUUGUUGUUGCCUUUAGCUUUUCGAUUUCUGUAUGUAAUCAAAUUAUUUUGUUUAUACAUAACAAAAACAUUACUAAAGAACUUGCCAAAAAAACAGUAUAAGUAAUUAAGAUGACUUACCAUUAUGAACUUUUUCCUCUUCUUCCAACGAUUCAAGUCUAAUCUUGAAUUCCUUCUUCUUAUCAUGCAGCACUAUUUUAUCUUUCUGCAUGCAACAAUAAUAUACAUUCAAUAAUUUUCUUACAUGAACACUUUAGUCAUAACAAAUUUUAUGGUUCCCAAUAUGACAGAUGUCUCACUUCCAACAUCGUCAUCUUGUUAAUCAUUAAAGCAUUCUCCUUCUCAAAAAAUUUCGUCCCCCUUUCCAACUCAGUAAUGUGUUGUCCCUUUUUUUUAUUUGAACGUUCAGCUGACUCUCUGUUUGCCAUAAUUCUUAAAAACCAAACAAUGUAUGAUUAAAAACCAAAAGUUGUAUGAUAAAGAAAACCAAAGAUUGUAUGAUAAAAAAAUGGAAAAAAUAAAAGAAAGAUUAGCAAUUUAGUCACGCAAACCUUCUGACUUUCUUAGGAUCAUUUUGAAUCUUUGAAAGUUUGGGACACUUUGAAAUCUUCUCCAAUUCAUUAGCAGUGUACACGUCUUCCGCAAACCCGAGGUCAAAAGUAUUGUCAUCUCCAUCAACCAAACUGGUAGAGGAGAUAUAACCAGAAGAAACCGGUAUGUUCAAGAAGUCGUUGAGACCGGUGUCCAUUGAAAUACUCUUGUAGUGUCCGCUUAAAGUUUCAAUGCUUUCGCCUUGAGUUCUUCUGUUCACAUUCAAAGUAGUUGAUGGAGAAAGGCUCACUGGUCCUAGUGGAUGAUGAAGGACUGACGACGGGGAAGGGUUCAAAGGCCGCAAGGAAGAGUUAACAGGUGCCUCCUGAGUCAUUGGCCUUGGUUCGGGAGGAGUGGUAUUGUCGCCUCCAUUCAUCUGUAUCAAAAUAUCAAAGUAAACUUUCUAGGUAUAACUUAUUUUUUCUUAUGGCUGGAAAAAAUAAUCUAAUAGAUAAAAAAAAUGGAGAAAAAGAUAAAAGUUUACUACGAUUAAAGAAAAAAUAAAAUUUAAUGUUAACGAAAGAAAGAAAAUACUCUACUUUUUAAGAAGAAAAUGUCUAAGAAACUAGAAUAUGAUGGUUCUGAGCUUUGAUAGUGAGCAAGAGCUUCCUUUUAUAGCUUAAGAAUUACAAACAUGAUACUCCUACCUUAAUCUUAUUUUGUUAAUAAAAUAUCUUAUAAAUUUUGAAGUCAAAACACUUGAAUGAACUCUGUGUUAUUUAGGCAGUUUAAUAAAAAUAUAUAAAGUUAAGAUCAUUGUGUAUUAUUUGACUCAAUCUUAAUUAAUUUUUCUUUUUGCUAUUAACUCAAUAUUAAUUAAUGUUUAUUUACACAAUUGACUUAAUCUUAAUUAGUUUUAAUUUCUCAAUUGAGAUUUUUAAUUUUUUUUAUUUUUUUUUGAUUGAUUGAAAAUCUUAAUUAGUAUUUAUUUUCACUAUUGAAUCAAUUUUUAUUUACGUUAUUGACUCAAUAUUAAUUUUUUUGAUUUUCGUAAUUGACUCAAUAUUAAUUUUAUUUUAUUUCCACUAUUGAAUCAAUCUUAAGUAAUUUUUAUUUUAGCGAUUGACUCAAUAUCUUAAUUUAUUAUUAUUUUUGCUAUUGGUUCAAUGUUAAUUAAUUUUUAUUUACGCAAUUGACUCAAUCUUGAUUAUUUUUAUUUUUGUAUUUAAGUCAAUCUUAAUUAACUUUUGUUUUCGCGAUUGACUCAAUCUUAGUUAAUUUUUUUUUUGCGCGUUAUUUACUUUUGCUAGUGAUUGGUUUUGGCACGUUAAUUAAUUUUACUUGAAUACAGUUAUUUUGGCAAGUUAUUUAUUUUAGAUAUUGAAAUAUUUUUGUAAGUUGUUUUUUGUUAUAACGAGUUAUUUGUUAUUUGCUUAUUUCAGCAUGCUGUUUACAUUUGGUUUUGUCUUGACAAUCUAUUUUUUUACUUUGUAAAGAUUUAUAGAUCGCCGACAUAUUUGUGACUUUAAGUAUCAUGUUAUCUUUGUAAGAUUCUUCAACACUAGUAGUUGCACUGCUAUGAAGAGAGAUAUGGGGAAAAAUUCUUGCAAGUAGCCAAUCUUUUAAAUUUUACCAUUCAUUAUUUUUUAGCCCUAUACGUAUUUUUUAGCCCCAUUCAAAAAAAAAUACAAAUCAAUCAUACAAAAUGAAAAAUACUAUACAGUUUAAGCCCUAUACGUAUCUUCUAAAUUUGUUGACAAAAAAUUAAUAGAAGCUAUUUAUAUUAUAAUGGAGAAAUAAAUUUAUAUUAAAAAAACCUUGAACAUAUGCGCAAGUAUUUAUAUAUGAGAAAACAAACAUAAUUUUUAACACAAAAACCAAAAAAAAACAAAAAAAUGUCAUAUUGUUUGAAAUCAUGGGUAUAUAUAUCAACCUAGUUAUAUACUCGACUGAAUUUGGUUAAUUCAUGAGUAAGACUAUUUAGAUAGGUUUUUAUACUCUCAACAUGGGCUUUUUCAUACCUGGACUAUCUAGGUAUGUUAAUUUCAUAUAGUUGACUUGUCAUUGUGCUAGAUCAUACCUGGACUUAUUGUAAAUUUGAAUUUAGUACCUCGAGAUUUCAUUUCGUGCUGAAUAAUACAAAAACGUGUUAAAUGUGUAACGCUGUUAACUCUCCGUCGACGUGGAUUCCACGUCAGAUGACACGUAAAUCCAUCGCUUGAUGACGUGGCAAAACGACGUCGUUUUGGUCGCUUAGAUGGUAAUUAAAAAUAUGUCGACAGCAAGGCUCGAACCUCCAACCAAUCACUUUUAUACUGACUACAUAACCGCUAGGCCAUCAACACUUAAUAGGUAUAAAUGAACAACGCAUUAAUAUAUAGUGUUUCGUAUUUCUAUAUAAUUAACAUAGUGUUUCCUAUUUCUUCUUCAUUAAUAUUAAUGAUCAUUCGACACUAGUGUUUCGUAUUUUUAUAUAGUGUUUUAUAUAGUGAAAAACACUAUAUAUGUUUCGUAUUUCUAUUUUGUAUUUCUUCUUCAUUAAUAUAUAGUGUUUCGUAUUUCUAUAUAUUAAAACAAUAUAUAGUNNNNNNNNNNNNNNNNNNNNNNNNNNNNNNNNNNNNNNNNNNNNNNNNNNNNNNNNNNNNNNNNNNNNNNNNNNNNNNNNNNNNNNNNNNNNNNNNNNNNNNNNNNNNNNNNNNNNNNNNNNNNNNNNNNNNNNNNNNNNNNNNNNNNUCUUCGAAAUAUAUUAUAGUGUUUUUCACUAUAUACGAAACACUAUAUAUUAAUACGAAACACUAGUGUUGAAUGAUCAUUAAUAUUAAUGAAGAAGAAAUAUGAAACACUAUAUAUUGUUUUAAUAUAUAGAAAUACGAAACACUAUAUAUUAAUGAAGAAGAAAUACAAAAUAGAAAUACGAAACAUAUAUAGUGUUUUUCACUAUAUAUACGAAAUACUAUAUAAAAAUACGAAACACUAGUGUCGAAUGAUCAUUAAUAUUAAUGAAGAAGAAAUAGGAAACACUAUAUAUUAAUUAUAUAGAAAUACGAAACACUAUAUAUUAAUGCGUUGUUCCUUUAAACUGAUUAAGUGUUGAUGGCCUAGUGGUUAUGUAGUUAUUAUAUAAGUGAUUGGUUGGAGGUUCGAGCCUUGCUGUCGACAUAUUUUUAAUUACCAUCUAAGCGACCAAAACGACGUCGUUUUGCCACGUCAUCAAGCGAUGAAUUUACGUGUCAUCUGACGUGGAAUCCACAUCGACGGAGAGUUAACAGCGUUACACAUUUAACACGUUUUUGUAUUAUUCAGCACGAAAUGAAAUCUCGAGGUACUAAAUUCAAAUUUACAAUAAGUCCAGGUAUGAUCUAGCACAAUGACAAGUCAACUAUAUGAAAUUAACAUACCUAGAUAGUCCAGGUAUGAAAAAGCCCGUUUUCCCCCUGCACACUACAUAAAGUAAAAGAACUUAAGAAUUAUACUAGAUAGCCUUUUUAUUUCUAUGUGCAAUCAAAUUAUUUUGUUUAUACAUAACAAAAACAAUACUAAAGAACUUUUCAAAAAAAGAAUUUACUCUGCUUUUCAAUUAAGUAAUGUAUGGUACCUUCCUGUUAUUUGAACGUUGAACCAACUCUCUGUUUGCAAAGAUUCUUAAAACCCAAACAUUGUAUGACAAAAGCCAAACAUUGUAUGAUAAAGAAAACCAAACAUUGUAUGAUAAAAACCAAACUUUUUAUAACCAGAAGAAAGAGGUAUGUUAAAGAAGUCAUUGAGAUCGGUUUCCAUUGAAAUACUAUGGUAGUGUCUGCUUAAUGUUUCAAUGCUUUCGCCUUCAGCUCUUCUCAUAACACUCAAAGUAGUUGAUGGAGAAAGGCUCACUGAUCCUAGUUGAUGAUGAAGGAUUGACGACGGGAAGGGCACAAAGGCGACAAGGAGGAGUUAGCACAAAAUUUCUGUCAGAAAUCAUCACAAUCGUUUAAUCUAAAGUGAGGGAUUGAGGAAUUUGGGGAUUUGGAGAUGGAUUCUAAUGGAAAUUUCUAGUUUUUUGAAACUUAAUCGAGUUAAAUCAAUUUUGGUUUCGUUAAGUAAACAAUAAACCAAUGGAAACCAAGAACUGGGGAUAAUUAGAUCUUGAACUUUGGUUUCAGGGAAAACUAGGUUUAGAACUUUUAUUCCGAGGGAAAUAGGAUUCAAACUUUUCUUUCAGAGAUAUCUACAUCGGGGUAAAAUUUCAGGCUCUAUCUGGAUUAAUACUUUAGUUCUCAGGGGAAAAUAUUUGGAUAAAUUUUAACAUUUUUAACAUUUUUAUUGGUUUUUUGAUAAAGUUUGAAAAUGGGAUAUUUUUAAAAAGUGGUAUUUGAAAAGAGGUAUUUUUGAAAUUCUCCCAUUAAUUAGUUAGUUUUAUUUUAACAAUUGACUAAAUCUUAAUUAAUUUUUAUUGAGUCAAAAUUUUAAGUAAAUUUUAAUUUUCGCUAUUGAUUCAAUCUUAAUUAAUUUUUACAUACGUGUUUGGCUCAAUCUUAAUUUUUUUUUUUAAUUGAGUUAAUCUUAAUUAAUUUUUAUUUUCUUGAUUAAGUCAAUCUUAAAUUAGUUUUAUUUUUGCAAAUAAGUCAAUCUUAAUUAAUUUUUAUUUUCUUAAUUGACUCAAUCUCAAUUAAUUUUAGAGAUUCUUUUUGGCUCGUUAUUUACUUUUACCAGUGAGUGAUUUUGGCUGAAUAUCUUAUAUGUUCUUAGUUUUGUGUUUCCAAAUAUUAAAAAGGUAAAACGUAAAAUCUCAUUUGCAUUAUUUCAGUUGUACACCAAAUAUUAAAAUUAAUUUAAAUUUCUCUUUUCCACAAUGUUAAAACAACAUGUUCAUUUACAAUUUAAUUUUAAAAAAAAAUUUAAAACAUAUAAUAAUAUUUGAGACAUGGCAGGUGACUCAGCAAAAUUUUUACAUGUGGCCUAUGACUCAGCAAAAUCUGUAUACAUGGUAUCUGACUCAUCGUAAUUGACCAAUAUAAUCUCGGUCAAUGUUGAUUUUGGCACAAAUUUGAUAUUUCAUGUAGUUUUAUUUGAAAUAAUGUUCAGUUCAGGUUAAAAUUUACACGUUAUAAAAGUUGAGGUAUAUAAAUACACUUUUGAAAUUGUUCAGGUUGAAAUUUACCCUUUACCCGAUUUUGGCAUGUUGUUUAAUUUUACUUGUGAAUGUUUAUUGUGAAAAAUUAUUUAUUUUAGCUAUUGAAUUAUAUAUUUUGGUAUGUUGUUUAAUUUUUUAUUAAUGAGUUAUUUGAUGUUCACUUAUUUCAGCACGCUUUUUACUUUUUGAAAUGUGUUGAAAUCUAUUUUUCACUUUUUAAAGAGUUAUAGAUGUUUGACAAAAAAAAAAGAAAAAAAAAAAGAGUUUUAGAUGGUCAACAUUAUUUUUCACUUUGAAUAUCGUGCUAUUUUCGCAAGGUUCUUCAACAUUAGUAAUUACAUUGCUAUGGAGAGAGUUAUGGGGACAAAAUCCUGCAAAUCACCAAUUUUUGCAAUUUUACCAUCCAUCCUCAAAAAAUACAAAUCAAUCAAACAAAAUAUAAAUUAAUAUGCAAUAUAAGCCCUCUAUGUUUUUUGUAAAUUUUCUUGUACAUUAUAUUUUCAAAACUUUAAAAGUAGACUUGGAAAUUCGUCACGAGAACUUCAAUUUGAUAUAUUAUUCAUUUAUAAUUUAAAAACUUAACGCCGAGAAACUGGAUAUAUUGCGUUUUGUCUUCAAUUUGAUACAGUAUUCGUUUCAAGGAUUUCAAUAUGAUAAAUUAUUUGUUCAUAUAUAUUUUACAAACUUGACGGUAAAAAAAAAAGUUUUAUUGCAUAUUAAUUUUUAUUUCUUCUGAUUUUUUUUGCAUUUUCUGAAUAUUGAUGUAAAAAACGGCGAUUUUUAGUGUUAUUCUUAUACAAUCAUGUCACAUGAUUCAUGUGUUUAUAAACAUUCCAUGUUUUUAAUUUGUAGAUGAAAAGUAUGACGACGAAGAUGAAGAUUAAAUAAGAAAACAUCGAAACAAUUGUUACUCAUACUUUCUGUUUACACGCAGUAAUAUCAUCUCCAGCCAAAAUUUCGACUUCUGUGUCAGUGCAAAGUAUAAAAACUAGUAGAAUUUGCUUCAUCUAAACUAAAAGAUGGUAGAUAACAAAUCAGGUGGUGUCUUAGUUUGUAUUGUAUGGUUUGAAUCUAUAUACCUGAUACUACCUUAGUAUACAAUCUGCUGGGAUAAAACAUCAGCUUUGAGGAUCACUCGACGCGAUCAAUUCACCUGACCUCAUCUCAUUGAUCUCAGCUUUUGCAAGGCGAAUCAAGAAUAAACCCGCAAAGAAAAUUGAAACAAUAAGCAUGAAAAAAACACUGUUCCACCCUCUGCUUGAUAUGAAACCAGCGAGCAGCGGUCCAAGAGCCGCCCCAACUGAACCAGUACCAUCUAUAAUAGCAGUUACAGUGGCCAACGCCCGACCAUUCCCUUUAAUUGAGUCUUGUGUUCCAAGAUCAGCUGCAACGGCUGUGGUAAUGAGUGCAUACGGACCGUUUACUAAUAACCCGGAUAUAAACAUCAAGGCGAUGUUAAUGAACAUGGACACACUCCCAUAGAUUCUGUACAUAAUGAGGGCAGGAAUGGAGAGUGCCAAGAAUGUAACUGAUGUGACGGCACGAGCAUUGAUUUUAUCGGAAAUGAACCCGGCUGAUAUUCCACCAAGCACUCCUCCUAUGUCAAAGACUGUCGAGAGAAUCCCAGCAGUUUUAUGCGAGAGAUUCACACCCGCAACAGCUGUUUCAAUACAUAAGAGUAAGAACAUAACGCAACUUGAAUUAUACGAAACAAACCUGUAUGCAUAACCUUAAAAGCAUACCUGUGUGCCUUAAGUAGUAUGGUAACCAAUACAAGAACGUGUAAGCGACGAGUUUCGAGAAAAACAAACAGAACGCGUAAGGCGCCACACCAGGCAAUCUCCAAGCCUCAAUAAACCCGAUAGCAAACAAAGAAUCAUCCGAGUCAUCUACAGUAUUUUCAAGAAGCACUGCAUCCUCAGCUUCCUGUUUCCUCAAACUCUCCUCUCCAUCAUUCUCAGCUAAACUCAUCUCAAUCUCAAUCUGUUUUCCCGGUUCUUCAAACCCCAAAUCAUUAGGACCAACAACAAGACACAUAAACACAAACACCCCAGACAAAAUCACCAUCCCACCAGGCAAAACAAAAGACCAUCCCCAUCCGAAAUCAAGAACCGAAGACGCAAUAACCGAUCCAAGAAUAUUCCCAACAGAUGUAUGAGAAUUCCACACACCCAUAAUCAAACCACGUUUCUCUUUCCCACACCAAUUCCCAACAACAGAGACAACACAAGGCCACCCAAUAGACUGAAACAAACCACAAACAAUCUGAACACUCAUGUAAAACCAAAGCCUAUGAACAUCCAUCCAAUACCCUAACCCAAAUACAACAGUGAGAAUCCCACUACCCAUCAUUCCAAACACAAGAAAGUAUCUCAAAUCAAUCCUAUCUCCUAAAUGCCCUGCAAAGUACAUACCAAAAGCAUACGAAGAAAGAAACGCCAAAUCAAGCUCACCAAGUCUCUUAGUCCCUUCUGUUCCAUUAAACGGAGCCCAUCCAUUAUCAAUUGAAGAUGCAUUAGAUACAACAGACGGUGGUCCAAGGACACUCUUGACAAUGCUGGGAGGUUUACGAGAAGCGUGAAACGAAGCAUAUGCUAUAAAGGUAAUGAUGAGAACUGAGAUUUGAUGGAAAGUGAAGGUUUUGUGAGGUGUGUUUAGGUUUGGGAAUAGAGAAAACGCCGGAGCUAAUCCGACGAUUCUCGAUUGCAUCUUGCUCAAUCUCUGUGUUGAAUCAUUUGCAAAAAGAAGAGAUCUUUAGAUCAGAAAAGUUUGAACCUUUGCGAAUGUUUUACUUUUCUCGUUCCGGUUGGUGGCUACUGGCCGGGUAGAUGUUAGAUCCUGGACGGUCAGGUUUUGUUUGGUCGGCGGUCAACUUCUGUUUUUGGGUAUUUUAGUUUCCGGACCAAAAAAACAAGUGUUGGUCUGAUCGGACAAGGCCUACGAUUAUCUCUAUUGAUCUCUAUUUGUCUUGGGGGAAAAUUCCAUGAAAAUUCCAUAAAAAUUCUCCAUCUAAUUUUAAUUUGGAACUUUAAUACUCAAUGUUAUUUGGUUGAAAACAAAAUGCAUAGUUUAUUAAUAUGUUGUCUAUUAAUACAUCAAGUAUAUAAAAAUUAUCGAAUCGAAGAAACCGCUUAACAAACGGUAAUUGGAUUGACGGAAUCACUAAACUGGAGUUAAUGGAAUUUCACUAAAUUUAGGGUUUAUCGAUCCCAAUUCGAUUUUAGGAUAAUAGCAAAGGACAAUGCAGUCUUUGGAUAACCCCAAAUUACCCGUGUGUUUAGGGAUUAGUAAUUUCGUCAACCUCGGUUUAGUGAUUCCGUCAAUCCGAUUAAACUUUUAUUCGAUUCGACAAUUUUUAUAUACUUAAUGUAUUAAUAGACCAAAAUUUAAUAAACCAUGCAUUUUAUUUCCAAUCAAAUAACAUUGGAUAUUAAACUUCCAAAUUAAAAUUAGAUGGGGAAUUUUUAUGGAAUUUUCCCUUUGUCUUGGAGGUUAAAAUAGUUUUUUAGAAUCAUAAACAAAUUUCUGAAAAAAAAAAAAAAUGAUAUUGAAAUUUUGAUAGGGAAAUUGCAAAGCAUGUACAUGGAUAAAAUUUUAAUUCAAUCUAUAGCACUGUUAUUUGCAUAUUUAGAUCCACUUUUUAACUGACGAUUAUAACCCUAUUCUCUAGUUUCAGAAGAUAGGCAAUGAUUUGAGGAGAAUUAAAACAAUAUGAUGACAAAAAAGAAGAAACCAUAUGAUAUUUGAACUUGCCUUCACUUUAAGAUUUCAUUUUCUGGGUACUCGUUGUAAAUCAAUAGAAUUGUGUUUUUUCCAUCCUUUCUUCCAUCACCCAAUAAAUCAACAGUUGCAACUUUUGAUGAGUGUAUUAUUUUUCUGGGUUUGUUUCUCAGAUCUACUAUGUUCUUCCAUUUAAAUCCAUCAACCGAUCAAAAAAAUCCACAAUAUAGUUUUUUCCUUUUUCAAUUUACUGACCUAAUUCUGAAGGUGAGAAGUUUUGUAUUUUUCGUUUCUUUUUAGCUUUUCUACUCAAAAAAAAAAAAGAUUUUGUUUAUGAAAUUUUCACUUUUUACACCAGAUGAUCUGAGUUGGAUUUUCAGGGACUUGUUGAAGAAGAAGACCCUUUAAUUCACGGUGAAGAAUAUGCCGAGAAAUCUGAUAAAGAUUUAAUUAGUUGCUAUUUAUAUCGUUAUUAAUUUCUGCUUGGUUUACCUCAUGUUAACAUUUGUACUUCAUCUCCCUACAUUUUUCUGAUGGCGAAGUGGGGGAUGAUCCUAUGGAUGUCGAUAACAAUGGGAUUAUCAUAUAAUACACCGCAUAGUCCCUAUUGCAUUUAUGUGAUCCUUUAUUUUCUAUAAAUGUCUUCUGCAAUUAUGUUAUAUUAUGUGGUACGUGCAGGUAGUUGAUAAUGAUGAAUGUGACAAGGAGAAAGACUUAGCAGAAAAACAAAUGGUUAGCAUAUAAUUUCUUUGUUAUUCAAUAUGAUUCUUAUUAUCCACGUCUGAAUGAAUAUGUGAUAUUAUUUCCUUUAUUUUCUACACAUGCCUUCUGCAAUUAUGUCAUAUUAAGUUGCAGUUUUUUUAUGGCGAAGUAGAGGAUGAUCUUAUGGAUGUCGAUAACAAUGGGAUUAUCAUAUAAUACACCGCAUACUCCCUUUUGCAAUUAUGUGAUUCUUUAUUUUCUAUAGACGUCUUCUGCAAUUAUGUUAUACUAAGUGGUAUGUGCAAGUAGCUGAUGAUGAUGAAGGUGACAAAGAGAAAGACUUAUCCGGGAAACAAAUGGUUAGCGUAUAAUUUCUUCGUUAUUCAAUAUGAUUCUUAUUAUCUACAUCUGAAUGAAUAUGUGAUACCAUUUCUUUUAUUUUCUACACAUGCCUUCUGCAAUUAUGUCAUAUUAAGUUGUUUGUGCAGGGAGGUGAUGGUGAUGUAGGUGGCGAGGAGAGAGAAACUUAGUAGGAAAGCAAUUGGUUAGAGUAUAAAUUUAUUGUUAUUCAAUGAUUAUUAGUAUCGACGUCUGAAUGAUUUUGUUUGUCAAGGUUGGCAACGAGAGUUAUUCUACAUGGCUGGUACGUGCUUAUGCCGGUAAUUGUAUGCAAAAACGAUGGUUAGUCGAUAAUAAGAUUGUUAUCAAAUUGUAACGCCUGUGUCUGGAAAUCCGGGUGGUGUCGAUCGACACUGUGGUCGGGUGUCGAUCGACACUAGUAAUUUUGGGUUUGACGGUUUAAGUUUUUAAAUCGUCGGUUCAAUGGAGGCUUGGUUUGGGUUGGUUAACCCUAGGUCGUGCUUAAAAGAGGGAAGGUCGUGUGUUGUCUCUUCCCAGCCGCUUUUUAACACUUCCAGAGAUAGAAAAAAAAAGGUUCUAGAGCUUCUGAGGGUUUUUGUGAGUCUUUGGUGGUGCUUGGUGGUGUUCUUGGUGGUUUAAGGCUAGUAGAGGCUAGAUCAGUGUUGUGUGGUGUUAGAGGAGACAGAUCCUUCCUUGUUCUUCCUUGUUUUCGUUGCUGUUCUUCUUGUUUAAAGAGGUGAGUGCAUGACCAGGCUUAUCUAAGCAUGUUUGAUCAUUGUUUUAGGGUUUUGAUGAUUGUUUGAUUGAUUUCCUUCGCUUGUUUGGCUGUUUAUUUGAUGAUUGAUGCCUGUGGAAUCCUUUGGAGACUCGUUCUUAUCGUGGUGGUCUUUUGGAGAAGAAAUCCAGUGAGAAACGCAGUUGGAGCGUCUGCAGAGAGUCGGUGUCGAUCGACACCAAGGGUGGGUGUCGCUCGACACCAACGUUUCAUCGCGCGAGGAUAACUGCGUCUUACGAUUGGAGUGUCGAGACCGGUGUCGUCCGCGAGGGUCGACAGCGAGUGUCGAUCGACACCAGUGGAGGGUGUCGAUCGACACCGAUAGUCAGAAGCGAUUCUGGUCUAUCUUUUAUUGGUUGUUUGGUUCUUUUCCUUGGAUAAUGGUUGAAUGUGCUUGUGUGUAUAGCCAGUGGUGGUAUGAUUGCCUCACUAAGUAUUUAUGAAAUACUUAUGCAUCUCUUUCUUUGAUGCAGGUAAAAGCAAAGUGUGAUCCGUGGAAUCAUGGCGAGGAGAGGAGGAUGAUCUAGGCGCUCAUUGGUGUUUAGAUGAUUGUAGGAUUUGUUAGGAUGCUAGAAUGGAAUUUAGAAGCAUGUUAGGAUGAAUUCGUUUCUGGAAUAUUGAUAGUUGAACUUGUUGGAUUAAUGGAAUGGUUUGAUUGGAUUUUUGUUUAAGUCUUCCGCUGGUUACGUUGAGUUGGUUGUGUUAGUAAAAUUGUCUGGAUUGCUUUAAAGGGGUUAAUCCGGAUUGUUUGCAUGCUUAAAAGAAAAAAAAAUGGGAUGGGUUCUUUCAAUUUGGUAUCAGAGCAUUUACGGUUCUAGGACGAGAUUUAAUUGGUAGAAAAAUUGUGAUGUGAUGUGUGAAUUUCAUUGAUGAGGAAUGAUGAUGUGGAUUGCAUGCUGAUUGAUUGUGUGUUUAAUCAAUUGGGUGAGCAUGGAGACCUAGAUCAUCCUCUCGAGCCUUAAAUGAGAUUCCACGGUAAGUUGUGUGGUUUGGUGAUUUGUUGGGUGUUCUUAACUUUCUGUUGUGUUGCAGAUGGUUAGAGGUGGAGCUGUCGGUCGUGGUCGUGGUCGUGGUCGUGGGCGUGGUCGCGGUAGGGGGCGUGGUGUUGCCUCGGCUAACGACACGAGUGUGGGCCGAAGUGCUACGGCCGAUUUUGUUAGUAAGUCCCAGUCGCAUCAGGACGGGCCCGUGGGUGGUGAGAGUGUGAGUGCCGUGGGAGCCGGUUCGUCCGGGAACGGUACUAGUGUUGUUGGGAACCCGGUCGGGGGUGUUCCAACAGGUGAAGCCCAGGGUCAGAAUGAUCGGCUUGCGGAUUUACUGACGCAGCUCUUGGAGCGGUUACCGGGUGCGGUACCGCCGGUGCAGGCUCCUCUUGGGCCUGGUGUGCAGGCUCCUCUUGGGCCUGGUGUGCAGGCUCCUCUUGGGCCUGGUGUGCAGGCUCCUCUUGGGCCUGGUGUGCAGGCUCCUCUUGGGCCUGGUGUGCAGCCUGUUGUUGGGGUUGUACCGCCUGGGGAGGUAGGUGCGGUGGUCGAGCAGCCGUACUACCUGCGGAUGUUGGAGCAGCUGCAGCGGUUCGGGAUGUCCUUGUUCUUCGGAGGUUCCGACCCGGCUGUAGCGGAUGAGUGGCGGGUGCGAUUGGAGCGGUAUUUCCAGUCGAUGAGGUGCCCGGAGGCGUAUCGGGUGGACCUAGCGGCCCACUACUUGGCGGGUGAUGCACAUUUGUGGUGGCGGAGUGGGCUGGCAAAGAGGGGGCAGGGAUUGGCGGUGUGGGGAGAUUUCUUGGCAGAGUUUAAUGCCAAGUAUUUUCCGGCGGAGGCAUUGGACCGGAUGGAGUCGCAGUUCCUGGCGUUGACUCAGGGCGAGCGGUCGGUGCGGGAGUACGACUCGGAGUUCAGCCGACUCUUGGUGUACUCGGGGCGUGCGGGAGAUCCUGAGCAGAUGCAGGUGCGUCGGUUCAUGAAGGGUCUCAGCCCUGACAUGAGGGUGCGGUGCAAGGUGCGGGCCUAUGCAUCGCGUGUGGAGCUGGUUGAGGUGGCGGCGGGGAUCGAGGACGAGUUGAGGAGUCACGGGGUGAUUCCUAGUCCGUCGGCGCAGCCGAAGAAGACCCAGCCACAGUCAGUUCCGAGCAAGGGUGGCAAACCUGCUCAGGGACAGAAGAGGAAGUGGGAUGACACUUCCAGGGUGAGCCAGGGUGAUCGGAGGUGCUUCAGGUGUGGGAGUACGGAUCACAUGGUGGCAAGCUGCCCGAAGAAGGGCGAGCCGUGGGUGGAUACCCGUGUCUGUUACCACUGCAGAGAGACGGGGCACAUAAAGACGAGGUGUCCUAAGUUGCAGCAGAUGGCGGUAGUAGCGGUGCAGCCGGCGAUGCAGCCAGUGGUGCAGCAAUGGGUGCAGCCAGGAUUGCAGCUGGCAGGGCAGUCGUUGGCUCAGCUGGGAGCACCGCCGGUGGCACAGAUCGAGGGAUCGAGGGGGUAUACGACCGUGGAGACAGGAGAGCCAAGCACUGGACGGCCGAUCACAGGUUUAAUUCUAAGCCUCAAUCUGUUUCCUUCCGUUGUUUUAGAAUUUGUGUUGUUUUCCUGUGAUUUUUGGGGUGGCCAGUCUUAGUGAAAAGGGUUUGUGUAGGGACCCUGUUGGUGGGCGGGUUCUUGUCCCACGUGAUGUUUGAUUCUGGAGCUACGAAUAGCUUCAUUACCCCAGAGUGCGCGACGGGUGGUAACAUCCGAGGAGAUCCCGAUGGUUGUUAUGGAGCCGUUAGAGUCGCAGGAGGCGCUUUGCUAUCGGUCCAGGGGCGGGCUAGUGGUGUGGAUGUACAGAUUGCGGGAGAGUCGAUGCCGGCAGAUCUGUACAUUAGUCCGGUGGAGUUGUAUGAUGUAAUUCUGGGCAUGGAUUGGUUGGAGCGGCACAGAGUUCAUCUGGAUUGUCACCGGGGGAGAGUAUACUUCGAGCGUCCCGGACCGAAGAUGUAUUUCCAGGGUGUGAGCCCGAUUUCGGGGAGUUUAGUGAUUUCGGCGAUUCAGGCGGAUAGGAUGAUACGAAAGGGGCGGGAAGCUUAUUUAGCUACGAUUGUCAUGCCAGAGACGGUCGAUGAGGUAGCAGUGGAUAAGAUCCGGGUGGUCCAAGAGUUCGAGGAUGUGUUUCAGUCGUUGAAGGGGUUACCACCAUCUCGGUCUGAUCCCUUCACGAUUGAGUUGGAGCCCGGGACAACGCCGUUGUCUAAGGCUCCGUACCGGAUGGCUCCAGCGGAGAUGGCGGAGCUGAAGAAGCAGUUGGAGGAUCUGCUGGGUAAGGGUUUCAUCCGUCCUAGUGUUUCACCGUGGGGUGCACCGGUGUUGUUCGUUAAGAAAAAGGAUGGGAGUUUCCGGCUGUGUAUCGAUUACCGGGGACUUAACCGAGUCACGGUGAAGAACAAGUAUCCUUUGCCGCGGAUUGAUGAGUUGUUGGACCAGUUGAGGGGAGCUACGUGGUUCUCUAAGAUCGAUUUGGCGUCGGGUUACCAUCAGAUUCCUAUCGACGAGGCGGAUAUCCGUAAAACGGCGUUCAGGACGAGGUAUGGGCAUUAUGAGUUCGUGGUGAUGCCUUUCGGGUUGACUAAUGCACCAGCGGCGUUCAUGAGGCUGAUGAACAGCGUGUUCCAGGCGUUUCUGGAUGAGUUUGUUAUCAUCUUCAUUGAUGAUAUCCUGGUGUAUUCUAAGAGUCCUGAGGAGCACGAGGUACACUUGCGGGCAGUGUUGGAGAAGCUGCGGGAAUAGAAGUUGUAUGCUAAGUUGAGCAAGUGUAGUUUCUGGCAGAGAAAGAUGGGUUUUCUGGGUCAUAUCGUGUCUGCAGAGGGAGUUUCUGUGGAUCCAGAGAAGAUUGAGGCUAUCAGAGAUUGGCCUAGACCGCAGAAUGCCACAGAGAUACGGAGUUUUCUGGGAUUGGCAGGUUACUACAGGCGGUUUGUGAAGGGCUUUGCUAGUACAGCUCAGCCAAUGACCAAGCUGACGGGGAAGGAUGUUCCUUUCGUGUGGACUCUUGAGUGUGAGCAGGGUUUCGCUCAACUCAAGGAGAUGUUGACCAGUACGCCGGUUUUGGCUUUACCGGAGCAGGGAGAGCCGUAUGUGGUGUACACGGACGCUUCGGGAGUUGGUUUGGGUUGUGUGUUGAUGCAGCAGGGUAAGGUGAUCGCCUAUGCCUCGCGGCAGUUGCGGAAGCAUGAGGGCAACUACCCUACUCAUGAUUUGGAGAUGGCAGCGGUGGUCUUUGCUCUGAAGAUUUGGAGAUCUUAUCUGUAUGGAGCGAAGGUUCAGGUGUUUACAGAUCAUAAGAGUCUGAAGUAUAUAUUCACGCAGCCUGAGUUGAACUUGAGGCAGAGGCGCUGGANNNNNNNNNNNNNNNNNNNNNNNNNNNNNNNNNNNNNNNNNNNNNNNNNNNNNNNNNNNNNNNNNNNNNNNNNNNNNNNNNNNNNNNNNNNNNNNNNNNNNNNNNNNNNNNNNNNNNNNNNNNNNNNNNNNNNNNNNNNNNNNNNNNNNNNNNNNAUUUCUCAGGAGCCACUGGGGUUAGAAGCAGCUAACCGAGCAGACCUUCUGACCAGAGUUCGAGCGGCUCAGGAGAAGGAUGCAGGGCUGGUUAAUACUUCUAAGGAUACUGAGUCAGAGUAUCAGGUUGCAGCCAAUGGGACUAUCCUUGUGCAUGGGCGAGUUUGUUUGCCCAAGGAUGAGGAGUUGAGACGUGAGAUCUUGAGUGAGGCUCAUGCGAGUAGGUUCUCUAUUCAUUCAGAAGCGACCAAGAUGUACCGAGAUCUGAAGCGGUAUUAUCAUUGGGUCGGGAUGAAGAGGGAUGUGGCUAAAUGGGUCUCUGAGUGCGAUGUAUGUCAGCUAGUGAAGGCUGAGCAUCAGGUGCCGAGUGGAUUAUUGCAGAGUCUCCCUAUUCCAGAGUGGAAAUGGGACAUGAUCACGAUGGAUUUCGUGGUGGGGUUGCCAGUGUCUCGGUUCAAGGAUGCCAUUUGGGUCAUUGUGGACCGUUUGACUAAGUCUGCACAUUUCUUGGCUAUCAAGAAAACCGAUGGAGCGGCAGUGCUAGCUAAGAAGUAUGUGCAGGAGAUUGUGAGACUUCAUGGAGUACCGGCCAGUAUUGUGUCAGACCGGGAUUCGAAGUUCACUUCGGCGUUCUGGAAGGCUUUCCAGAAGGAGAUGUGUACUAAGGUGCAUUUGAGCACGACUUACCACCCUCAGACAGACGGGCAGUCUGAGCGGACCAUUCAGACACUUGAGGAUCUGUUGAGGAUGUGUGUGUUGGACUGGGGUGGUCAGUGGGCAGAUCACUUGAGCUUGGUGGAGUUUGCUUAUGAGGCGUUGUAUGGGAGGCCAUGUCGGACACCUCUAUGCUGGACUCAAGUGGGGGAGAGGAGCAUUUAUGGUGCGGAUUUCGUUCAGGAGACUUCAGAGAAGAUUCGGGUUCUGAAGCUGAACAUGAGAGAGGCGCAGGAUCGGCAGAAGUGUUAUGCUGAUAAGAGGCGUAAAGAGUUGGAGUUUGAGGUUGGAGAUAUGGUGUAUCUCAAGAUGGCGAUGUUGCGUGGUCCUAACAGGUCCCUUACCGAGACUAAGCUGAGUCCGAGGUUUAUGGGUCCUUUCAGGAUUGUGGAGCGGGUUGGACCGGUGGCUUAUCGGUUGGAGUUACCUGAGGUAAUGCAUGCUUUUCAUAAGGUAUUCCACGUGUCGAUGCUGAGGAAGUGUCUUCACAAGGAUGAUGAGGUGUUGGCUACGAUCCAGGCGGAUCUUCAGCCUAGCAUGACCUUGGAGGCGAGGCCAGUGAGGGUUCUCGAGAGGCGGGUAAAGGAACUUCGAUGUAAGAAGAUUCCUUUGAUGAGAGUCCAGUGGGACUGUGAUGGAGUCUUGGAGGAGACGUGGGAGCCAGUGGCCAGGAUGAAGGCAAGGUUCCGGAAGUGGUUUGACAAGCAGGUCGAGGAGUACACCGUUGGCUUAUUUGGUUUUUGAGUUUGGUUUUUGUUGUAUCUCUUUUGUAUUCUCAUUUUUGGUGUAAUGAUUAUGACAUUGGAGAUUAAUAAGAUGAAUAUUUCUUGGAUUUGACUUGUUGUGUCAUGUGUAAGAGAAAUAUGUGUGAGUUUCUAAAAAUAGAAAGUGUCGGGUUUGACGGUUCUAUUUUUGGAAAGUCUCGGGGUGGUGGUUAGUAUAGCAUUGCGAUGUUAUAAGUGGACCACGGGAGGUAUAUCUGAUCGAGAGAUAUGCUCGGGGGCGUUUAGACUUAUUUGCUCGGAUAUGAUGUGAUGGCCUCGGAUGACGAUUCGAGUGCACGCUUGAGGGUGACGACCCGAGAGCGAGCGUGUGACUUCCCGGAUACCGUAGCUAGAAGGCGGGUGGCCUAAUAGUGAGCCGGUAUGACUUGAGGGUUGCGACCUGAGAGCGGGGGAAGUGGUGAGGCUUCCUGGAUACCGUAGUCUAAGGCUGAGGCCUGAGGACGAGCCGGUAUGAUCCACGGGUUGCGACCUAUGGACGGGGGAGGUGGGUGUGUAUGAGCAAAUAGGGUCUGGAACGCGAGUAUAUUGAUUAGAUAGGGGCCUCGGUGAGGUCAGUUGUGUACUGACGGUUGUGUUGGAGGAUUCGGGGAUGAAUCCUAGUUAGUGGGGGAGAAUUGUAACGCCCGUGUCUGGAAAUCCGGGUGGUGUCGAUCGACACUGUGGUCGGGUGUCGAUCGACACUAGUAAUUGUGGGUUUGACGGUUUAAGUUUUUAAAUCGUCGGUUCAAUGGAGGCUUGGUUUGGGUUGGUUAACCCUAGGUCGUGCUUAAAAGAGGGAAGGUCGUGUGUUGUCUCUUCCCAGCCGCUUUUUAACACUUCCAGAGAUAGAAAAAAAAAGGUUCUAGAGCUUCUGAGGGUUUUUGUGAGUCUUUGGUGGUGCUUGGUGGUGUUCUUGGUGGUUUAAGGCUAGUAGAGGCUAGAUCAGUGUUGUGUGGUGUUAGAGGAGACAGAUCCUUCCUUGUUCUUCCUUGUUUUCGUUGCUGUUCUUCUUGUUUAAAGAGGUGAGUGCAUGACCAGGCUUAUCUAAGCAUGUUUGAUCAUUGUUUUAGGGUUUUGAUGAUUGUUUGAUUGAUUUCCUUUGCUUGUUUGGCUGUUUAUUUGAUGAUUGAUGCCUGUGGAAUCCUUUGGAGACUCGUUCUUAUCGUGGUGGUCUUUUGGAGAAGAAAUCCAGUGAGAAACGCAGUUGGAGCGUCUGCAGAGAGUCGGUGUCGAUCGACACCAAGGGUGGGUGUCGCUCGACACCAACGUUUCAUCGCGCGAGGAUAACUGCGUCUUACGAUUGGAGUGUCGAGACCGGUGUCGUCCGCGAGGGUCGACAGCGAGUGUCGAUCGACACCAGUGGAGGGUGUCGAUCGACACCGAUAGUCAGAAGCGAUUCUGGUCUAUCUUUUAUUGGUUGUUUGGUUCUUUUCCUUGGAUAAUGGUUGAAUGUGCUUGUGUGUAUAGCCAGUGGUGGUAUGAUUGCCUCACUAAGUAUUUAUGAAAUACUUAUGCAUCUCUUUCUUUGAUGCAGGUAAAAGCAAAGUGUGAUCCGUGGAAUCAUGGCGAGGAGAGGAGGAUGAUCUAGGCGCUCAUUGGUGUUUAGAUGAUUGUAGGAUUUGUUAGGAUGCUAGAAUGGAAUUUAGAAGCAUGUUAGGAUGAAUUCGUUUCUGGAAUAUUGAUAGUUGAACUUGUUGGAUUAAUGGAAUGGUUUGAUUGGAUUUUUGUUUAAGUCUUCCGCUGGUUACGUUGAGUUGGUUGUGUUAGUAAAAUUGUCUGGGUUGCUUUAAAGGGGUUAAUCCGGAUUGUUUGCAUGCUUAAAAGAAAAAAAAAUGGGAUGGGUUCUUUCACAAAUAAAUUUGUUUUUAUUUGGUUUGCCAAUAUAAGCAUGAUUGUUAUCCUACUAACUCAUGUCAUGUCCCAAUAUAAGGCAUGUCACAAUAUUCGGUUUCCCAGUAUAAGGCAUGUCAUUUUCGGUUUUCCAAUAUAAGGUUAGUCGAUAAUAAUUUUGUUAUCAAAUAAAUCUGUUGUUAUUAAAUAAAUCUGUUUUAUUCAGUUUAAACUGGUAACAAAAAUGUAAACAUGCUAAUGGUCGCAGCGAACAUCGAGGAGAUGAUGCUCUAGGUGCCACUCUCUGGGACACAUUUUAGAAAUAAAUCUAUGUUAUUAUUAUACUAGUUAUUGGUAUAACAUAACACUUACCGGAUUUCUUCUCAUUCUAAUAGUUACCAGUAUAACAUAAGAAUUAUUAAACCGGAAGCUAAUCGACAGUAAAACUUAUUAGUUGUAAAAAUUAUCAACCUACGAUAAUUUUUACUUUGUAAAAUUAGCCAUUACUAGGACUUAAAAGACGUGUUUGGUUACAUUGCAUUUCUCAUUAAAAGAUGUCACGAGUGCCAAUCAUCUAAUGAUCAUGAUCACAUAGCUCGCCUCUUUUGCCUGAUAAUAAAUACAUAAUCUUCUAAUGCUUUUGUUAUCUAAUAUCCACAAUGUUAUGUUUUUGUCUACAUACUUUUCUAAAAUGUCAAAUGUGUAGUUAGUGAAUACCUUGUUGUAUUUACUAAUAAUUUUUUAAUUUAUAAGAUAAGACUUGUGACUUUAGUAUACAUACUAAUUGUUAUCUGGAAUUAUUGACUAAUCAUAAUGAUAUCGAAUAAACAUAAUGAUAUCCAAUAUGUUUGAAGAUAUCGUCGACAUCAUUUAAUGCUGGAGGUGUGCGUAUCUUUGCCAAUAUUCUCUGCGUGUGUCAGACAGUUCCCCCAAAUUUUUUUAUGUCAGAGAUGUUUAUUAAACAAACACUCAUUGCUUCUUUUCCGCAGGGAUAGGGCUAUUUUUGUCAGAUCAUAUCACAUAUUGUUGCACAUCUAAUUUUUAACUUAUUGGUCCUCAGCUUUUAAUUAUUUUGUCAACUACUGCUACAAACCUAACAAACCCACUUUGAUAUAGAUUGAAAUAAAUAAAAAAACUAGCAAGUAAAUGUUUGUUAAUAACCAGGCCCUUCAAAAUUUGUUAGAAUUAGAGUAGCUCAAAAACUUAAGUAAAUGACAAAAGCCCAUGUGGUUUUUUUUUGUAUUACGUAACUGCCAUUAAUUUUUUUUUUACAAAAACUAAAUACAUAUUAAAACCCAAGAAAAUAAAACUAAACCUAAUUACAAUACAAAAAAAAGAUGAGUCCUUGCUCUCAAAGUUCAGCCGCCGGGAAAAAAAGAGAGAGGUUUGUGUGGUGCUUCCUUCUAUGGUGGAGAUUAAAACCCUCGUCAUCUACGGCGAUGCUUGUCCGAUGAUCUUCUUCAAGAAAUUCAAACUGAAACACUCUGGCCAUGUCACCGUCCCAAUCUCCUCCGUCUCCGUCGUUUCCACUUCCUCAUAUCCGAAUCAAGAAGCUUCGCAUCUCAGAUUCUUCCUCCUCUACGAAGAUUCUCUUCUCUAGGUAACAUGAUAUUUAUGCUAGUUUUAAUAGAGAGUAACGUUUCAGGGAAUUAUAUAAGAUCUGUAUUUCGGUAUACAUCCAAGCAAUUGAGAGCUUAGGAGGUUCUCUUUCGGGAUCUCAAUCUUUUUAAAAAGAGUUUUGGGUUUUGUCUCUUGUUCAGUGAUAUAUAUAUAUAUCUCUCUAAUAACUAGUUAUAUUCUUUAUUCACUUGUGUUAUAAUUACAUACAUGAAAGAGUUCCUUACAUCAACAGGAAACAUACUGGAAACUUGAGGAAGCUCAUCAGCUUUCUUUCCUUCCUUUGACAACAGAAUGGACAUUAUUCAGCCAAUGUUGUCCAUUGAUAACAUGGUUGCACUAUCUUGCAGGUAUCUAAUAACAUGGCUGCACUAAUAUGUUAGUUUUAAUCUGCCACUAGGUUUAAAUCUUAUUCCACCCUUGGUUGUAGGUUAUGUUAGUUUCUUGUGCUGCAUGAACUCUUGUGAUUCUACAGCCAUUAAUUUUUCAAUCAAACUUUUUAGCUUUUAUUUUUUUUAAAGCAUUGAAAGUCAUUUUUUGGAAGCGUUAGAAACCUUUCCACAAGUUUAUAAAAUAUAUUUUUAUAUUUUAUUCUUUAUAAAUUAAUUACUCUCAUUUUUUUCUUGUUCUUUUAAUAUCCAUUUCAAUAAUAACUAUUUUUAUUUUCACCAUCAUCAAUAAUGAUGAUGUAAAAGAGUUAUGAAAUUUAUGUUUAUAUAGGGAGUAAUUAGUCAUUAAUAAUCAAAAAGUAGUCAUUAAAUUGUUUUAUAAAUUCAUUUCUACAAUAAUUUAUAUUUCUUAUUAAUAUAAAAUAAUAACAAAUAUAAUAAUAAAUAACAGCCGUAUGUCACGGAUUUGAUCGUUUGGAAUCAAACCGUGUGGCCCUAGAUUCUCUUUGUCUCGAAUAAAUGGACUAGGCAACUUAACUCCCCACAAGAAAUCCGACCCAAAAUGGGUGUUCAUGUAAUUGGGUCGUGAUAUCCUCCCCCACCUAAUUCGGCGACGUCUUCUUCGUCUUAGAUGACUUUAGUUUCUCUAGGAAUUUCCAUAACUCGUCUUCUGGUUCUCAUGAAGCCUCUGCUUCUGGUAAACCCUUCCAUUUGAUGAGGAAGUGUGUUCGCCGGGGAACACCACAUUUCCGAACCACUUUUGACGAGAGUACUUCCUCAAUCUCUUUGUCGUAAGACUUCGUCAUAAUUGGUGGUGCUUGAGACGACACUCCACGAUGUUUGUCCUCGACGUCUCCAUGAUAUGGCUUGAGCAUACUCACAUGGAAAGCCGGAUGGAUCUUCAAAGUUCCAAGUAGAUCUAGUUUGUAUGAAACUUUCCCUAUCUUGGCUAUUACUUCGAAUGGCCCCUCAUAUCCUCAGAGAAGUCCCUUGUGCAUACUCCGGAAAAUUUUGAAUCGUUGGGGAAGAAGUUUCACCAUGACUCGAUUACAUACUUUGAAAUCCAAUGGCCCUCGUUUCUCAUCGGCCCACUUAUUCACACGCUUUGCGGGAUUUUUCCAUGAAAAGCCGGGCAAAAUCCGUAGGAUCUUCCCAUGUGUUUGCCAUCUUCUACGCUCCCGGACUUCAUAUCUCAUUUCACGAAGCUUACCACAAAAUUUGGUGCCGAUCAGAUAACAUAUUAAACCACGAUCGUACUUACAACCUCUGCAGGUCCCACUUUGCCACAGAAAAGAAGUCUUUCAUCAAACUUUGGAUAAGAUUUGAUACGUCGUAACCCUUUUCUCCCAAGAUGUGACGAAUCAACUUCUUCUUCUUUAUACACCAAAGCAAAGCUAACCCUCUCCUUCUCACAAGUGAACUUCUCCUUCUCCUUUUCACUAUCUCUUUUCUUAGAUUCAAACAACGACUGUAAAAAAGAGAGAGGGGGAGUUCUUAAUAAAAUAGGAUUUUUGGUUUAAUUAAUCAAAUUAAACCAUGAUUUACCUAUACCGAUACCUUCCUUUGAUUCAAUUAACAAAUCGACCAGCUUAGAAAAUCAUUUGGUAAAUUCAUCUUCUUCAUUUGAAACACCAAGUCUCGAUCAGAAAAAUUCAGAAUUUGCAACAUGAGGGUUGUGAACUCCUUCACAUAGUCGCUCAUCAUACCCUUUUGCCAAAGUUCUCUUAGCAUCCUCCAUGCCUCAUACACCACAUUCUCAGGGUAGAAUUGACGCUUGAGCUCCUUCUUGAACUCCUCCCAAGUGUCUACCCGACAUGUGCCCCGCUAAAUGUCUGCAUAGUACCUCCGCCACCGUAACAUUGCCGUAUCAGUAAGGUACAAUUUGGUAGCUUUUAUCUAUGUAGUCUCGACUUCGAGCCAGAGAUUGUCAAAGUACUGCUCCAUUUGCCACAAGAAAUUCUCAACUUUUUGGCAUCUCGUACCCCAUCUAAUAAGGAUGGUCGCGGAUAGUCUAGUCUACCUGAACCUGCGUUGCUAGUCCCCGCACCGGAAACUGCCUUCAUGCAAAGGUAAGGUCGUUUUGCAUCGCCUCGAUGCAUACUUGCAAUGCUUCAGCCGUUUCCAUCAUCUUCUCUUCCAGUUGGAUGAAUUAACUCUCAAUUUCCCCCAUGUUCUCCUUGAUUCCACGAAGCUCGGAGAACACAGUUUUUCCGAGUUCAGUGGCUAAGUACUCGAUACGGUCGACCCUCUCCCCCAACUCGUUCACCACGGCACCCAUGGAUAUGAUCUCAUUACGAACCCUGCUCUUGUCGCGCUUACUCGUCUUCCUCAAAGCAUUGGCGUCAACGGUCUCCGCCACUGGGUAACAAUGUCUUCAUCACGACCCACCAUCUUUUAGUAACUUCCUUUCGUUUGAACGAACCUGGCUCCGAUACCACGUGUCACAGACUUUAAUCGUUUGGGAUCAAACCGUGCGGCCCUAGACUCUCUUUGUCUCGAAUAAAUGGACUAGGUAGCCUAACUCCCAUCAAGAAUUCCAACCCUUCAUGAGAAAAGGACCUAGAAUGAACGAAAACUCGAGAAAAGACAAGUAAUUACUGAAUCGCUCUAUUAUUGAUAAAAAUGAUGGAUGAUUACAAAUCAGGGAUCUCACCCCUAUUAAUACAAAGUCUUUUGAGACUCCUUCCAUAAAAAGGCUGAAAAUGCCAAGUGUUUAGUGGGUUUCCUUCAUUGUCCGGCCCGAAUGGGUGUUCAUGUAAAUGGGCCGUGACACGCAGCUUUAAAAGUUGUUCAUUACCAAUCAUAUUUUUACAGUAAAAUUUUAAUAGCCAAAGCAUCUACAGCCAAAUUCUUAGCUACUAAAAUUUUAAAGUCAAAUUCUAUCCAGCCAAAAGUAACAAUCGUUACCAAAAGUAAAAAUCUUGAUCCCACAUGAUUUUCAAGUCACCUCUACUCCCUUUAAUUAGUAUGUUGCUUAUUGGAUUCGCUGAUGUUAAGUUGUUGGGGCAUGUUUGGAUCAGUUUGAUGCAUGUUUGAUCUAUCAAACUGGUUGUGGCUUUGCAUCAUUUCACUUGCUGACAUCUUAAGCUGCUUGACUUCCACAGUCAGUCGUUUGUUAUCAGCCUGAACCAUCUUCAGCGAUUGGGCUUCUACUAUCACUUCUCCAGUCAACGUUGUUGUCACCUUUAGCCAAUCGAUUUCUGUAUGCAAUCGAAUCAUUUGUUUAUACAUAAUAAAAACAAUUACUAAAGAACUAGCCAAAAAAAUAUUAAAAAUAAUUAAGAUGACGUAACAUUAUAGGUUUUUGUCUCUUGCUCUAACGAUUCAAGUCUAAUCUUGAAUUCCUUCUUCUCAUUAUCCAUCAAUGUUUUAUCUUUCUGCAUGCAACAAUAAUAUAAGUUCAAAAAUUUCCUUACAUGAACAUUUAGACAUGACAAAGUUUAUGGUUCCCAAUAUGACAUAUGUCUCACCUCUAAAAUCGCCAUCUUAUUAGUCAUUAAAGCAUUCUCCUUCUCAAAUUUUUUUGUUCUUCUUUCCAACUCGAUAAUUGUAACAACCCAUCCCGUGGGAACCCCUGCCAUGUGGCGGAGUCCCACAGGACAGGGUGUUACUUGUGCCUUUCUGUUUUUUUGAACGUUGAGCUGACUCUCUUUUGCUAAGAUUCUAACAAACCAAACAUUGUAUGAUAAAAAAACCAAACAUUGUAUGCUAAAGAAAACCAUACCUUGUGACUUCUUAAGGAUCAUUUUGAACCCUUGCAAGUUUGGGACACUUCGAAAUCUUCUCCAAUUUAUCAGCAGUAUACACAUCUUUGGUAAACUCGAGGUCAACAGUAUUCUCAUCUCCUUCAACCAAACUAGUAAGGGAGAUAUAACUAGGAGAAAGAAGUAUGUUCAGUAACUCAUGGAGACAAGUUUCCAUCGAUACACUUUGUUCGUGUCCUCUUAAAGGUUCAAUGCUUUCGCAUUCAGCUUUUCUCUUCACACUCAAAGUAUUCGACCGAGAAAGGUACAUUGAUCCUAGUGGAUUAUGUCGGACUGGACGACGAAGAAGGGCUCAAUGACCGCAGGAGGAGUAAACAUAUGACUGCUGAGUCAUCGACCUUGCUUUGGGAGGAGUGGUAUUGUCGCCUCCAUUUGUCUACAUAAAAAUAUCAAAGUUAUGUUUCUGUGCAUAACACAGUUUUUCUUACGACGGGAAAAAAAUCUAAUAGAUAAAAAGAAUGUGGAAAAUAAAAUCAGUUUACUAUGAUUAAAAUUAUUGAAGAUCAUUUACUUUCAAAAGAGUAAAGAGAAAAUAAAAUUAAAACGGUAACCAAAGAGUGAAGAUACUCUACCUUAGAAAAAGAAAGUGUCUGAGAAACUAGAAUGUGAUUGUUCUUUGCUUUGAUAGUUAGCACGAGCCUUCUUUUAUAGGUUAGGAACUACUGCAAUAAUUCUCUUUCUUCAAUCUAAUAUUGUCAAUAAAAUAUGGAUAUCUUAUAAAUUUUGAAGUCAAAACACUUGAAUAGACUAUGUGUUGAUUAGGUAGUUUAAUGAAACUUUAGAAAGUUAAGGUCGUUGUGUUUCACGAUUGACUUAAUCUUAAUUAAUUUUUAUUUUUGCUACUGAUUGAAUCUUAAUUAAUUUUUAUUUACACAAUUGACUUAAUCUUAAUUAGUUUUAUUUUAGAAUAGAGUCAUUCUUAAUUGAUUUUUAUUUUCGGGGUUGAAUCAAAAUAUUAAUUUUCGCUAUUAAUAUUAAUUAAUGAAGAUUGAGUCAAUAGCGAAAAUAAAAAUUAAUUAAUAUUUUGAGUCAAUCGGGAAAAGAAAAAUAAAUUAAGAAUGACUCAACUACGAAACUAAAACAAAUUAAGAUUAAGUCAAUUAUGUAACUAAAAAUUAAUUAAUAUUGAAUCAAUAGCGAGAAUAAAAAUUAAUUAAGAUUGAGUCAAUUGUUAAACACAAUGACCUUAACUUGAUAAAUUUUUAUUAAACUGCCUAAAUAACACAGAGUUUAUUCAAGUGUUUUGAUUUCACAAUUUAUAAGAUAUUUUAUUAACAAAAUAAGAUUAAAGUAGGAGAAUCAGUUUAGUAAUUCUUAAGCUAUAAAAGGACGUUCGUGCUAAUUAUCAAAGCAAAGAACCAUCAAAUUCUAGUUUCUUAGCAAUUUUCUUUUUAAAAGGUAGAGUAUCUUUUUUCUUUGGUUAACGUUAUAUAUAUUUUUCUCUUUACUCUAUUGAAAAAGAAUGAUCUUCGUUCAUUUUAAUCGUAGUGAACUUUUCUCUUUUUCCCCAUUCUUUUUAUCUAUUAGAUUAUUAUUUUCAGCCGUAAGAAAAAAUAAGAUAUACGUAGAAACAUAACUUUGAUAUUUUGAUGCAGAUGAGUGGAGGCGGCAAUACCACUCCUCCCGAACCACGGCCGAUGACUCAGCAAUUACCUAUUAACUCUUUCUUUCCGCCUUGGAGCCCUUACCCGUUGUCAAUCCUUCAUCAUCUACUAGGAUCAGUGAGCCUUUCUCUAUCGACUACUUUGAGCGUGAAGAGAAGAACUGAAGGCAAAAUCAUUGAAACUUUAAGCAGACACUACCAGAGUGUUUCAAUGGAAAACGAUCUCAAUGACUUCUUGAACAUACCUCUUUCUUAUGGUUAUAUCUCCUCCAGCAGUUCAGUUGAUGGAAAUGAGAAUACUUUUGCCUUGACUUUGUGAACGACGUGUACACUACUGAUGAAUUGGAAAAGAUUUCAAAGCGUCCCCAACUUGCAAAGGUUCAAAAUGAUCCUAAGAAAUUCGGAAGGUUUGCGUGACUAAAUUACUAAUCCUUCUUUUAUUUUUCCUUUUUAAUCAUACAAUUUUUGGUUAUCUUUAUCAUACAACAUUUGUUUUACAUCAUAGAAUGCUGGGUUUUUACGAACUACUGAAAUGAUUCUCCUUCUUCAAUUUAAUAUUGUCAAUAAAAUAUGGAUAUCUUAUUAAUUUUGAAGUCAAAACACUUGAAUAAACUACGUGUUUAUUAGGUAGUUUAAUGAAAAUUUAUAAAGUUAAGGUCAUUGUGUUUCAUGAUUGACUUAACCUUAAUUAAUUUUUAUUUUUGCUAUCAAAUCAAUCUUAAUUAAUUUUUAUUUACUUAAUUGGCUUAAUCUUAAUUAGUUUUAUUUUCAAAAUAGAGUCAUUCUUAAUUAAUUUUUAUUUUCGCGGUUGACUCAAAAUAUUAAUUCUGCUAAUAAUAUUAAAUAAUUAAGACUGAGUCAAUAGCGGAAAUAAAAAUUAAUUAAUAUUUUGAGUCAAUCAGGGAAAUAAAAAUAAAUUAAGAAUGACUAAACUACGAAACUAAAACUAAUUAUGAUUAAGUCAGUUGUGUAAAUAAAAAAAAUUAAUAUUGAAUCAAUAGCGAAAAUAAAAAUUAAUUAAGAUUGAGUCUAUUGUGAAACACAAUGACCUUAACUCUAUAAAUUUUUAAUAAACUGCCUAAAUAACACAGAGCUCGUUCAAGUGUUUUGACUUCAAAAUUUAUAAGAUAUUUUAUUAACAAAAUAAGAUUAAAGUAGGAGAAUCAUUUUAGUAAUUCUUAAGGUAUAAAAGGAAGCUCGUGCUAACUAUCAAUGCAAAUAACCAUCAUAUUCUAGUUCCUUAGCCAUUUUAUUUUUAAAAGGUAGAGUAUCUUCUUUCUUUGGUUAACAUUAUAACUUUUUUUCUUUACUCUAUUGAAAAAAAUGAUCUUCGAUAAUUUUAUCGUAGUGAACUUUUCACUUUCUCCCCUUCUUUUUAUCUAUUAGAUUUUUUUUCAGCCGUAAGAAAAAAAUAAGUUAUACCUAGAAACAGAACUUUGAUAUUUUGAUGCAGAUGAGUGGAGGUGACAAUACCACUCCACCCGAACCACAGCCGGUGACUCAGCAGUUACCUAUUAACUCUUUCUUUCCGCCGUGGAGCCGUUCCCCGUCGUCAAUCCUUCAUCAUCGACUAGGAUCAGUGUGCCUUUCUCCAUCGACUACUUUGAGCGUGAAGAGAAGAACUGAAGGCGAAAGCAUUGAAACUUUAAGCAUACACUACCAGAGUGUUUCAAUGGAAAACGAUCUCAAUGACUUCUUGAACAUACCUCUUCCUUUUCUGUUCUCUUUUUCUUUUCUUUUUUACUUAUUAAAAAAUCCCAACCAAUCAAUAAUUUUUUAAAAAUAUUUAAAUUGACUGCAGCAUGAAUUAUGACUUUGAAUUCAUCGGAUCGGUCAGAUUGUUCUGAUCAAAAUGCAUUCCAUGAACCUUAUAAAACUAUUGGCAUACAAACGUCAUAUGGUUGGUGUCAUUACUUAUAUCUCAAAGAUGAUUAGGGACACCAUCAAUCUAGUGAUAUCAUUGUAGAUUUGAGAUGGUUAAGAAUCUUUCUUUCUCGUUUCAAUCGUCGUUACAGUCUUUCACUUUUGUCGUCAAGAACAAACUCUCCUUCCCCAUCAUCACCACCAUUUCCUUCUCCACCGCCACCAUAUUCUCCAUUCACAUCACCAUCACCUCUUCGGUCACUAACAUACAAUCCACCAAAACUACCGCAAUCUCUGCUUUACUACACUCACUCUCCACAUUCACCACAGUCCUUACCCUCAUUGCCAGUAGUAGACUCUUUUUCUCGUCACAACCACUAUAUCAUAUAACAAUAUAUCAUGAUAUAUAAUUAUAUCUUUGAUAUAUAUUUAUGUAUCCCGAUACUUUAACAUAUAUUAUACUAUAUAUUUACAUAUCAUAUUAUAUAUUAUGAAAUAUAUUAGUAUAUCAUAAUAUAUGUUAUGAUAUAUCGAUAUAUCCUAAUAUAUAUUGAUAGAUCAUAUGUAACUAUAAUAAUAUAAUUUUACGAUGUCUAGUAUAUAUCUAUGUAUCAUGUAUAUAUUAAUAAAUCUUGUCAUAAUCUUACACAUUGUGCUAUAUAUUACCUAAAAAAAGUAAGAGAUAAAUAACAUGUCGGUUUUUCCUUGAGUAUUUUCUCUAUCUUACUCUGCAAAAAGACGAAAUAUAUUGUUUUUUCUUAAUUCUUUCUCAAAAUAUUACUAUAGAUUUAAUUGACACAUUUUUAUUAUCUAUUUAAUAUCAAUAUACCAUUAGCUUAAGACUAUAAUUUACCCGACAAAUAUGUUGAAUUUUCAGUCACAUUCCACAUUUAUCUAGUAACUUUUAAAAAUCAGAUUUAAAUUUCACGCUUUCCAUCUUGUGAAAAAGUAUAUUACAUCAUAAUAAAUUUUGAAUUUUAGUUCUAUGCACUACCAAGGAUUAAAAUAAUUGAUUUGGCCACCUAUAUCACUAUUGUGCACUUAUCAUUUCAGUGAAAUCUUCUAAAAAAAUUUCACUGUUAAGCGUGCUAAUUGUCACGGGCUUAUUUCAAAAGACUGUGCGGCAUUCGAUAUUACCCAUAUAUUAUUGAGUUAGCUGUCAUACCUCGGACCAUCUUUGACUGGUUUUGCCCUGCCUUGGGCUCAUCAGGUGAAGCUCCAAAUCACGACCCGUUUGUUCAGGGAUGACAUAAUCCCUUAUUCUAAGCCUGCUCCUCGAUCAGCAACGGACACCCAAACCUAUCGAGUGGUUCCCGCAUGACUCCUUUGAAGGGACUCGACAACUCGAGUCAUGCACGCCCUCCUCAAUGAAGCACGAUACCUGUCCAGUCAUAAUGGCCCCGUGGAAGCAACGCGACAAUCACGAACCGUUCCAUAAAAACGGGCGUGACAUCCUUAUAAUGCCCCAACUCGAUUUCUACUCCAUCAAAACAUUAUUCAUUUUCCGACCAAGAUUCCGACAAGUCAUUGUUAAGCAUAAAAACGAAUUCUUGCAUUAAUAACAAAGGUUCUAGUACAACGGUAAGUUUGCUAUAGGCUAUUACAUCGUUUUACUACUCGACCAACAUGAAACUACCCAAAUAAAAACCAUCCUUCACUUCUUGCCUUAGUCUCGUGAACUGAUUCCAACAUUCCCCUUACCCUUUCCUGCAUCACAAAGAAUGCGUAAGCAAAUGAAUUUGCUUAGUGAGAACGGUCUUCCCGUCUCACCAGGCCAUAAUCAAACAAUCGCAUUCAAUACAUCGAAACAUAUAGUCAAUAUUGCAAGUCAAGAACAGAAACUUGUCAAGCAUAACUAUCCAGAGUUACUGAGCAAUCUUCCCGCAACCGAACAAGCCUCAACGAGCAGCUCUGCUGCUAAGCGCAUUGCCGAUUUAGAUUCUCGAGUAAACCAAACCAAUCAUCGAGACUAAGCAGUAGAUAAUCAAUACAUGACAAGCAAACAUUCUGAAUAAACAAGACAAUCAAAGAAUAAGUGAAUCGAUGCACGAAAACGACUCAAGAUUCAUAGCCACGGUCGCGCACUCACCGUAAUCUCUUGGAUAUAGAUUUUGACACCUCUUGAUUCUCGGGUUCUCACUAACCUCUCGAACAAUUCACUGAAAACCCAUACAACAUAUCAGAUCAUUGUUCCCUUAGAUGAUAAAUAAAAUAUAAAAUAUCGAUAAACACAAAUGUAUUGAUAUUUACCUAAAUUACUCGACCAACACAUCAACUGCUCAAACAGAUCUUUCGAUGAACUGCUUCUCACCAGAAAUCUACGACAAACAGAACAGAUCACCGAUACACUUCGAUACAACUAAGUAAUUAUCGAUAAAACACCUAGUUUCUUGAUGAUUACCUUGAAUACUCGACAAUCGCUGCACAUCUUCGACAAUCUCACUCGGUUCUUGAUAGUUACUCACAGUUUCUCGACAAAUCUCUCUAACUUUCAGAGUUCUUAAACUUUUUUAUCACCGAUCAAACCCCUUUUAUAAGCAAGUCAAAACAAUUAAAGCGCUCGAUAACCGUCCACUAACUCACUCCGCGUCUUUUCUCUCACGCAAAUAACCGUUCCCGCGUUUUCGUUCGAAAAACAUAACUGUUUCUGUCAAACAUUGACAGAACACGCAGAUCAUCGAUCUGGUUCGAGACGUACGCACGGAUCUUGUUCAUCGAUCCCCGAACGUUAGCUCUACGACGAAACUAUUCUAAAAACCCGGAUGUCCGAAUAACCAAUAACCUUAUGCGAAAAACACGAAGUUCAGCUCAAAUAUCAGCUUUUGCUCUCAACAUUCGGAUUCCCAUCGAUAAAUUCUUGAAACUCAGACAAAAGAUCGAGUAUAAUCGGAUUCCAUCGACCAUAGGUAAGUGUUCAGUUCGAUAAGGGUAGCAAACAUACCCCUAGGAACCAUGAAGACGGUCGCUAUAGUUCUCCCCCACUUAGAAUGGAUUUGUCCUCGAAUCUAAGCUUUUUUUCGUGGAACCUUUUGCUUCUCAAACCAUUUCUUGAAGUUUACGUUAAUCACUUCUUUUGGUUCCCAAGUUGUUUGCUCUUCACCGCACAAUCCCAAACGACCUAAAUGAACUUAACCUUUUUCUUACAACCUGUCCGCAACUUCCUACCCAAAAUCUGAACUGGUCUUCCCAUUAAAGUCAUAUUCUCUUGCAAAUCCAGUGUCGGUUCAGAUAUGACAUUCUCCCGAUUCGUUAUUCAUUGCCUUAGCAACGAAACAUGGAACUCUUUAUGAAAAGCAUCCAUUGCCGAUUGCAAUUCCAGCUGGUACGCGAUAGGUCUAAUAUUUUCCUGAAUCCGGAACGGUCCCAGGUACCUUGGAGUUAACUUCGUAUUCAAGGAUGUUCGAUCCUUCCCCUUAUACGUGGCUGUCUUGAGAUAGACCAAAUCUCCCACAUCAAACUCCACUUCUCUCUUAUGCUUAUCGGCAUAGCUUAUCGUCAUAGCUCUUUUUUCCAUCAUGAGCUUCUUUCAUCUUAAUCUUCAAGACUCUGACUCUUUCGGUUGUCUCUUUGAAAAAGUCCCAUCCAUACACACUUCGCUCCCCCACUUGGGUCCAACACAGCGAUGUUUUACAAGGUCUUCCAUAUAACGCUUCGUAUGGUGACAUUCCAAUGCUCGCGUGAUAAUUUUUGUUAUAAACGAAUUCAGCUAACAUCAAGUAUUCUUCCCAUUUACCGCCCCAAUUCAGAACACUAGCUCGCAACAAGGCUUCAAGUAUUCGGGCCGUUCGCUCGGACUAUCCAUCCGUCUGAGGAUGAUGAGUUGUACACAUAUUCAACCUUGUUUUGAAUCUCUUCUGAAGUGCUUUCCAAAAUCCAGAAGUAAACUUGGAGUCACGAUUCGGUACUAAGCUUGGCGGUACCCCAUGAUAUCGAACAACUACUUUCACAUAAAUCUUAGCAAGCUUUUUGGUUCCAUCUUUCUUAUUCAUCGCAAUGAAGUGAGCGUACUUAGUCAAUCGAUCAACGCUAACCUAUAUCACAUCGUUCUUGUCACAUAGGUGCAAACCCGUGAUAAAGUCUAUGGUUAUCAUAUCUCAUUUCCACUUGGGCAUCGUUACCUUUUCCAACAUUCCACCCACAACUUGAUGUUCAGCCUUAACCAAUUGACAAUUCAGACAACCGGCUACCCAGUUAGCAACGUCUCGCUUAAUACCUUUCCAAUAGUUGUAGCGUUUCAAGUCUUGAUACAUUUUUAACGACCCCAGAAGUAUAGAAAACUUCGACAUAUGAGCUUCCUUGAGAAUUUCUUCAUGCAGCUCCUUAUCUUUCGGUACACACACACGACCAUUCACCAAAACUGUCCCAUUGUUCGAAGUCUGAAACUCAGUCUUAUCAUUCUUCGACAACCUGAUCAAAUCCUCAUCUAUUUCCUGAUCUGCUCCUCCCAAACCCAACGGCUCUAACUCAUUGGAGACAGCAGUUAAUCGAAGCGUACCAACCAUACUGAUCAACCCUUGCAUAUAUUUUCCAAUAUUUGUCGCAACUCUCUUCCGACUAAGUGUAUUCACGACCAGAUUUUCCUUUCCCGGAUGAUAGGCAAUGUCUAGAUCAAAAUCAGCGACAAGUUCCAUCCAUCUCCGUUGUCGCAAGUUGAACUCUGGUUGAGUGAAGAUAUACUUCAAAAUUUUAUGAUCCUUGAAAACUUGAACUUUCCCACCAUAAAGGUAAGAUCACCAAAUUUUCAAUGCAAACACAACAGCCACCAUCUCAAGGUCAUGCGUUAGAUAAUUUCCUUACAUGAACACUUUAGACAUAACCAAUUUUAUGUUUCCUAAUAUGGCAUAUGUGUCACCUCCUAAAUACUUUGUUUAUUAACUUUUGUCCUAUUAAUUCAUCAGUUAUUCCUCGGUUGGUUGAAUCAUCCUCCUGGGUUAAGAAACGUUGACUAUGAUGUCAGCAAUUCAUCUUGUUGUCUUGGGGAGGUUUCAUUGUUGUAAUUGCAAUGAUCCUUAUGAUGGGGAAAAAGUAGGUUAUGUUGAGGAUAUGAACUAGUAUUUGUUGGCAAAAAGUAGUUUGUUGUUUCAGAUUGUUGUCUUUGUUGUUGUCAUAUGAACUGUGUUCUUAGUCACUGUUUUUCAUUGAAAAUUUCCUAAUUUCAUUGAUUCGAGAGAGUCAUUAGUUUGAACAAAAUACAUGAUCCCCAAAAAAACAAACCUAUACCAUCCUACAUUGAAAUCAUCCAAAUCCAAGGUUCUCAAUAUGCUAACAAAAGACAUACUUAUGCCUAUUUCUUCUCAGGUUGCCAAACAUCAAACAUUUUAUCAGACCAAACAGACAUAAAAAAACAGGUGGUUUAGGUGGUUCAUCUGUUCCUUUUCCACGACCUUUUCCACAACCAUUUUUAGUUCCACGAGAACGUCCACGAGCACCAUAAUUUACCUCAACAGCUGAUCCACGAAAUCUUAUCCAUUAUGGAACAUUUGCUUUAGCCACAAGUAAGGUGGUUUAUCCUUGGCGUAAUUACUUCUUGAUAUCUCUCUUUUAUGACGCUCAAAACAAUCUCAUUCUUCAUAUGUGUCCAACCAGCUUUAGCUUUCCUAUCUAAUUCAUCAUCUUCAUCACCUUCACAGGCUGCGUUUUCUGUAGCUUGACGCAUUGCUUCUGAUUCAUCGUGACGCGCAUCUUCUUCCUCAGCUUCAUUAGUAUCCUCACCCAUAACUUUAGAUUAUCUUGUUAAUUUCUUCAUUAAAAGGUAUGAAGAUCAUCUUGAAUAACUUCCUCUAUUGGAUCAUCUCCAUCUCCAUGAUCUUGUGUCUCUUCUUUAGCAUCCUCACCAACUUUAUCUUGGCCUACCUUUUCAUCAUCUUCUGCAUCCUCUUCCCCAACAAACUGCUCACCUUACAGAGAUAAAGGAAAUGCUACAAGUGUAGAGGUACCUUGUUGAAUGCAUAUAUCCACUUCACCACAAAACAUUGCUUCACUACACAAUUGUCUAAUUCCACCAUCUUUGUCUUCUUCGAAAAGCCUAGCUGAAGCUAUGUCUUCAUGAGGAAGCUUAUACCAUACUUGCUCUACUGCAUCGUUCACUUCAUUCUUUGUGCAAAACUCCUCGAAGAUUGACCAUGUCAUCAGAUCUGGAUCAAUCAGCAUAUCAUUCUCCUCGGUUCCACCUAUGUAGGCGAACGACCCAUCCUUGAACUCGACAUCUCCUCUGAAGUGUAUAUUCAGUUUCAGGUGUUCGAAAGCACUGUACAAGUGUAAAUGAAAUGAUUAGGCAUCUAGUAACUAUAAUGAAAUGACUCAUCUACGAAAAUAAAAGUAAUUAAGAUUAAGUCAAUUGUGUAAAUAAAAAUUAAUUAAUAUUAAAUCAAUAGCGAAAAUAAAAAUUAAUUAAGAUUGAGUCAAUUGUGAAACACAAUGACCUUAACUUUAUAAAUUUUUAUGAAACUGCCUAAAUAACACAGAGUUCAUUCAAGUGUUUUGACUUCAAAAUUAAUAAGAUAUUUUAUUAACAAAAUAAGAUUAAAGUAGGAGAAUCAUUUUAGUAAUUCUUAAGCUAUAAAAAAAAGCUCGUGCUAACUAUCAAAGCACUUUCUUAGCCAUUUUAUUUUUAAAAGGUAGAGUAUCUUCUUUCUUUGGUUAACGUUAUAAAAAAAAUUUUCCUUCUUUACUCUAUUUAAAAAAAAUGAUCUUCGAUAAUUUUAAUCGUAGUGAACUUUUAAUUUUUUCCCCAUUCUUUUUCUAUUAGAUUAUUUUUUUCCAUCCGUAAGAAAUAGAGUAAAGAAAAGGGUAUGUUCAAGAAGUCAUUGAGAUUGUUUUCCAUUGAAACACUUUGGUAUUGUCUGCUUAAAGUUUCAAUGAUUUCGCCUUCAGUUCUUCUCUUCACGCUCAAAGUAGUCGAUGGAAAAAGGCUCACUGAUCCUAGUGAAUGAUGAAGGAUUGACGAUGGGGAAGGGCUCCAAGGCGGCAAGAAAGAGUUAAUAGGUAACUGGUGAUUCAUCGGCCGUGGUUUGGGAGGAGUGGUAUUGUCGCCUCCACUCAUCGGCAUCAAAAUAUCAAAGUUCAGUUGAUGGAGAUGACAAUACAUUACUGAAUUGGAAAGCAUAACAAAUUUUUUUUGAGAAGGGGAAUGUUUUAAUGAAUUAUAAGAUGACGAUUUUGGAGGUGAGACGUACAUAUAUCAUAUUAGGAACCAUAAAAUUUGUUAUGUCUAAAGUGUUCAUGUAAGGAAAUUACUGAACAUAUAUUAUUGUUGCAUGCAGAAAGAUAAAACAGUGCUGGAUAAUAACAAGGAGGAAUUCAAGAUUAGACUUGAUAUGUUGGAGCAAGAGGAAAAAAUUCAUAUUGGUACGUCAUCUUAAUUACUUUUGUUGAUUUUUCUGCAAGUUAUUUACUAAUAUUUUUCUUAUGUAUAAACAAAAUAAUUUGAUUCGAUACAGAAGUCAUAAUGGUGGUGUAUGUUAGUGAUCAAAGAGGUGAUGGUGAUGUCAAUGUAUAAUAUGGUGGCGGUGAAGAAGGAAAUGGUGGUGAUGAUGGGGAAGAAGAGUUUGUUUCGACGACAAAAGUGAAAGACUGUAACGACGAUUGAAACGAGAAAGAAAGAUUCUUAACCAUCUCAAAUCUACAAUGAUAUCACUAGAUUGAUGGUGUCCGUAAUCAUCUUUGAGAUCUAAGUAAUGACACCAACCAUAUGACGUUUCUAUACCAAUAGUUUUAUAAGGUUCAUGGAAUGCAUUUUGAUCAGAAAAAUGUGACUGAUACGAUAAAUUCAAAGUCAUAAUACAUGAUGCAGUCAAUUUAAAUAUUUUUUAAAAAUCAUUGAUUGGUUGAGAUUUUUAAUAACUAAAAAAGAAAAGAUAACAGAAAACAGAAAAGGAAGAAGGAAGGAAGAAUGUAGCAGGUGUGGGAUGAGAAUUAAGGAUAGAGGUUCUAAGGCAGUCUUAAUUAAUUUUUAUAUUUUGGCACGUUUUUAACUUUUGCUAGUGAGUGAUUGAGUGAGACUAUUUAGAUAAAUUACUAAUACUCAACAUGACCCUGCACAUUACAUAAAAUAUAUAAAACAAUUUGUGUACCACUGAUAGUAACGUACCAAUUUCCUACCUGAAACUUAUAAAACAAAUGUCGAUUAAAGCGAAGUUUUUUUUUAGGAAAACUUUCAUACCAAUUAUUUUGUAGGAUUUCUGGUAGGAUAUGACCAUGUUUUCUUGUAGAAUUAAAACAACUUAAGAAAUAUGCUAGAUAUCACUUCAAUCCUUGAUCUUACGUGAUUAAAUGUAAUCUAAUCAAUUUUUAAUCAUUUCACUUCAAGCCUAAAUCUAAAUAUUUUAAAUCAAAUUCUAAUAUAAUCAAUUUUGAAAUUCUAAAACACAAACCCCCAAAAUGAAUAAAAAGAUGCAUGUUUGAUCCCUCAAACAGGUUGUGGCUUUGCAUCACUUCACUUGUUGACAUAUUUAGUUGUUGCACUUCUACAAUUAAUCGUUCGUUAACGGCUUGUACCACUUUCCUCAGUUAGGCUUCUACACUAUAAUUCAUCAGUUGCUUACAAUUCAUAAGUGAAUCUAUGUACGUAAACAACUUAACAUUCAUAGCCACAGUCGCGCACUCACCGUAGUCUCUUGGAUACAGAUUCUUACACCUCUUGAUGCUCAUAUUUUCACUAAUUUCUCGAACAAUUCACUGAAAACCCAUACAACAUAUCAGAUCAUCGUUCCCUUAGAUAAUAAAUCAGAUAAAAUAUUGGUAAACACAUAUUCUAUCGUUACUCGACCAACAAAGCAACCGGUCGAACUGAUCUUCCGAUGAAUCGCUUCUCACCAGAAACCUACGAUAAACAGAACAAAUCACAGAUAGUACUUCGAUACAAUUAAGUAAUUAUCGAUAAACACCCAGUUGCUCGAUGAUUAGCUUGAAUACUCGACAAUCGUUGACAGAUCUUCGACAAUCUCUCUCGGUUCUCGGCAGUUACUCAUAGUUUCUCGACAAAUCUCUCUAACUUUAAAAGUUCUUAAGCUUUUCGAUCACACUCGCAAAGAAUGACGCUCAACCCCCUUUUAUAAGCGAGUCGAAACGGUUAAAGCGCUCGAUAACCGUCCAAUAACUCACUUCGCGUCUUUUCUCUCACGCAAAUAACCGUUCCCGCAUUUUCUUUCGAAAAACAUAACUGUUUCCGCCAAACAUUGACAGAACAUGAGGAUCAUUGAUCUGGUUCGAGACUUCAUGCACGGAUCUUCGUUACACUAAUCCCCGAAUGUCAGCUCUCCGACCAAACUCUUCCGAAAAUCCCGGCUGUCUGAAUAACCAACAACCUUAUGCGAGAAACACGAAGUUCAACUCGAAUAUCGGCUUUCUCUCGUAACAUCGGAUUCCCAUCGAUCCCUUAUCUAUAAACUCUCGAAACUCCACCAAAAGAUCGAGUAUAAUCGGAUUCCAUCGAACAAAGUCAUGUGUUUAGCUUGAUAAGGGUAGCAAACAACCCUUAGGUACCACGAAGACGGUCGCUAGAAUCCUACCCCACCCAUCAAUGUGCACACCCUCGUGCACGGGGAGAAUCCUUUUGAUCGUACGUUGUGUAUUAUGUGAUACCUCAUACCCCCACUCGAUUCGAUGAUUCAGCACCUCGCCCUCGACCAUCAUUUCGCCACAAAACAAGGCUCCGCUUACCCAACUCUUAUCGGGAGCGCAGACAACACACAACGUAACCUGGCUCUGAUACCAAAUGUCACGGGCUUAUUUCCAAAGACCGUGCAACACUCGAUAAUACCCAUAUAUUAUCGAGUCAGCCUUCAUACCUCAGACUAUCUUCGACUAGUUUCGCCCUGCCUUGGGCUCAUUAGGUUAUCAGCUCUAGAUCAUGACCAGUUUGUGCAGGGAUGGCCUAAUCCCUUUUUCUAAGCCUGAUCCACGAUCAGCGACGGACAGCCGAACCUAUUGAGUGGUUCCCGCCUGACUCCUUCGUAGGGACUCGACAAUUUGAGACAUGUACGCCCUCCUCACUGAAGCACGAUAUAUGCCCCAGUCGGUAUGGCCCCGCAAAAGCAACGCAAUAGUCACGAACCGUUCUAGGAAAACGGGGUGUGACAUAAUGCCAAAGUAGUUUCCGAAAGUGAUUGUCACAAUUUUGUAAGUGAGGAAAAAACACAAGAAAGGAUCAUGUGGUGAACUAAAGCCUUCCGACUUACAAAACAGGUUGUCAGAUAUGGGUAUGCCCACGGGCUAGGAGUGGACAUAGGACCAUGAAAAGAGUUAAACCGGAUUAAACAAACUGAUGCGACAUUGAGCAAUGACAGCUCGGGCCGGACAGACGAUGGCUGUCGUACCUGGAUCGAUAAAAGACAAACAACUUUUUCAGUACACGCGCCAAUAAAGCAAAAAGCUCGAGUGUGUCAGCCAAAUGAUUGGUAAAAAGCAAAAACAACGUAAGAUCGAACAAAUAACUCGACACGUGCUCAGAUCUAAGACCCAAACACGUUUCAAAACCGGAUCUAACAAAAAGGAAAACACUUUAUCGAAUCAAAAUCUGAUUUUUCAAGAAAACAUCGAAGAAAACACGACGAACACAAUAGAACCCAGAAAAGUCUCGAUCUUUACUAGUUUCUACCGAUACAAAAACUAAGGCGAUGACGUUAAACGAAAAGUAAACUCGAAAAGGAUAGAUACAACCUGUUGUUAGGACCUUCAGCUCUGAUACCACUGAUGAACCUCCGGAUACGCUCGAUGGAUCGAGGUUUGGUUCGGACGCCUCGAGCAGUGCAGUGGACUGUCGGACGGAACGACAAGGAUGCGUGAAGCGGGAAAACGCUCUCGUACAAAUGAGAGACGCUCUCGGUGGGUGAUGAAUGGGUCGAUGCAACGACACACGAGUGAUGAGGAGACUCGUGAUACGGUUGCCUCAACGUCUUUGAGCCCGGCUCGUUCGAACGUUGAGGGUUUCCGGACCUUUAAGCGGCGAGAGGCCUUUAGAGGAACGAAGAGAUGACGCAAGAGAAAUAACUCUAGGGUUUUAAUUCAAGCAAGCGUAACCUCUACAAAUGUUUAAGCAGCCUUUAAAUAGGUGCGAACCGAAAGAGCUACCUAUUUGCCCUAGGCCACGUGUGUGGUCGAGCGGCUUACAACAAUUGUAAAGUACCGACAAAAACCAACGUUCGAAAUUCAAAUGUUUUAAGAUAAGGAUAGAAGGAUAGAAUCCACGCGUCUUUGGUAAAACGCGUGGAUGCGCCAGGAUUAACUGCCUCGUUAAAACCUUCUCGGUAAAACCCAAUGGGAUAAAAACCGAGUUAGGAAAAAGAGUACAGUUGUUCGCUAACGACUUAAACGUCUUCACCAAUGGUGAUGGUGAAGACCAUCCACGUAGGCUCUUGGUCUUGGGUCGUUGGCUCGAUGAGAUCGUGGAUGUAUUCUUGGAGGAAGAGGUUGAAUUGGUCUCGGGUAUUCUUCUCCGAUCGUCGGCUUCGAGUGAUCGCUCCUUGGGCAAUGAUUGAGGCGUUGGAUCGAGUCAUCGAUCGAGUUUGUCGAGCUGGUUCGAUCGUUCCGUCGGUUUCGUCGAUCCGUCCGUAUCUCGCUCGGUCGGUACUCGUUCCCUCGCGGUCGCCAUCCGUCCGUCCGUCCGUAUCGUCCGUCUGGCCCGAGCUGUCAUUGCUCGAUGUCGCAUCACAAACCCAAACAAACUAAACUGAACUAAAUCAAUUUAAACAUAAUUAAACAUUUCUAAACAACUAAAUUGGACUAAAUCAAUUUAAACCAACUAAACCAAAACAAAUCGAACAAUCAAAGUAAACCAACCGAAAACUAGCGGAAGAACAAUUAAAGAAACAAUCCAAUAAUCAUUACUAUUAAACCAUAAAAACUAGCAUUUCUAAUGACAUCAUAACAAAAAUCAUAAAACAUUCAGCGAGCCCCUAGAUCAUUCAUCUCUCCUCGCCCUGAUUACACGGUCACACUUUGCUUUUACCUGCAUCAUAGAAAGAGAUGCAUAAGUAUUUGCAAAAAUACUUAGUGAGACUUAGUGAGGCACUCAUCCCAACAAAUAGGCUAUACACACAAGAAGUAUCAAUCACAUUUGAAAUAAUUCCACAACACAAAAUAUCAAGCAAAUAUAAAACAUUGUUGCUGCUGAGGACUGGUGUCGAUAGACAUCCACCACUGGUGUUAGUCGACACUCGCUCCCGAAAACCCGAAAUGACGAGUAGUUUCGAUUGACACCCACCACCGAUGUCGAUCAUCACUCGCAACUAUCCUCACGAUACAUAUUACAAGUGUCGGUCGACACCCACCAUUGGUGUCCAUCGACCCCAAAACGCUAACAUCACUCUAGUCGCUUCUCCUUGACGGAUCUCCAUCUCCUUACACGCAAUAGGCGAUGUGGACUCUCCAGAAGGUCAUUCAGAGGCACCGAAACAUAGGUUGAGACUUGUGGACGGGGAAGUGAUUAAGUAUGAGUAAAUAAGGUCUGCAACGUGAGUAUAUUGAUCAGAGAGAGACCUCGAAUGGGUCAGUUGUAGGAGUGCCGGCCGUGGUGAUGGUUGCACGGAGUCCUUGACUAAUGGAAGGUGUUGAAGGAUUCGAGGAAGAAUCUAUAUUAAUGGGGGAGAAUUGUAACCGUCGUAUUUGCAAGAUACUAAAUUAAUACAAGCUAUUUUAAUUAAUUUUUAUAUACGCAAUUGAUUCAAUCUCGAUUAGUUUGUUGACAAAAACAAAAUUAAUACAAGCUAUUUAUAUUAUAAUUGAGAAAUAAAUUUAUAUCAAAAGAAACUUGCACAUAUGCGCAAGUAUUGGUAUAUGAGGAAACAAACACAUAAAUGUUUUAAUACAAAAAAUAAAACAAAACAAAAUGUCAUAUUGUUUAAAAUCUCAUGGGCAUAUAUAUCUAUCUAGCUAUGAAAAGACCCAACCCAAAUUUUUUUAAUUUUAAGCAUGCUAACCGGAUUAACCCACAUAAUUUAAACCAGCUAAACCAGCUAGACCGGACUAGAUCAAUUAACCCAAUUAACCCUUUCCAUUUCAGAUUAAACCAGUUAACCACCAGUUCUAAUUCUAACGGAUCAUAACCAAAAUUAAAAUCAGCGGAAGACAAUAAAAAAUGAUUCAAAGACACCAAUUGAAUUGGCCAACAAAUCUAGCAAUCAUUCCAAAGUCAAUCAACAAUUCUAGAAUGCUAAUGUGGAUUACAUGAAAAAAAAAAUUUCGGGUCAAAAUUUUUAAAUUGUAUUGCUAAAAAAUAUCCUUUAGUGUGGAGCAUGCAUAGGGGAUGUGUUUGACCCCAUUGAAAAUUAUAUUUAGGCCAUCUAGGGGCAGAUGUUUUAAUUCUCAUGUAUGAUGAUAGCUCAUAGUUCACACUCAAUCUGGAUCCGCUAUCAUGUCGAUCCGACAUUCACAAACUUCAUGAAAACAAACCAAUAUUAGUUUAUGUUAUAAAUGUUAUAGCGAAUAAAUAUAUCUACAAAUAAAACCUCACAUUUACGUGUAAGUCUAAACCGUUGACAUGUUUUUUCAUAUGUUUGACUAAAAUAUACAAUCUUAAAUGAGUAAAUUAUUAUUAAAAUGGUUAUAAGAUGGAAAAACCUGACAUAUUAUGACGCACAUGACAUGGUUUUUGUCCCAAAAUAGACAAAUCAAAUUUCUUUUACUAUUUUUUUUUUAAUGUACAAUUGUCUUCAACAUAAUCAAAUUGUAUCGUUCUUUUUGUUUAUACUGAUUUAAAAACAAAUCACUGAACUGGUACAUGUUUAGAUUAUAAAUGUUAAUAACUUUGUUAAAAGUUACGUUUACAAACAUACUCGGUACGUACGUAAUAUAUUUCAAAAUUUAAUAACAACUUUAUUUUUAAAAUUAAUUUUGCACGUACGGGCGGGUCUGAAUCUAGUUAUUUUAAAGUAUAAUAUAAUGUGACAUAUUUUGCUGAAUAAGUUUUUAAAUUCGAUACAAAGAGGAUCUUGAAUAAUUGAAGUCUCUCUUAUGUGAUGGAGAAGAUUUUCAAUUAUGGUCUCUAUUUCCUCAUUUUAUUUAGGUUGACUAUAAUUAACGUUGAAAUGGAGAUUUUCCUACACUCUAACUAGAGAGUGACCUCCAUUUUGCGCCAAAGGUGGCACACCUAUAUAUACAUUUUUAAGCACAUUUGGUGUUAUAACUUUUUAUUUUAUAAUAUUUGCAUAAUAAAUCCUUGAUAUUUGAAUAAAUAACAAAACUUUAACGUAAAUUUUGUAAUUAAUUCACAAUAGAAUCCCAAAAUUAGAAACCAAUAUUUAUUACAUUAACAAAAUUUCCUGAAAUAUCUCCCUAAUAAAUUGAAUAUCUCACAAAUAUCUUUAUAUGAUUUUAUUUGUUUUGAAAAUUAUAUUAUUACAUUUAAGUAUAUAACAUAUGUAUAAUAAAAAUAUAAUUUUCCAUAUAUGUUGCAAUUUGAAUUUUUGAAGACGGUCGUAUAUUACUGAAUCUAUAAAGAAAAAAAAAGUAUGUACAGCGUUACACAUCGGGUAAAAACUUUUAGACAAUGGUUCAGAAUCUUUAUAAAUAAGACUUAUAUGCUUCUAACUAUGAUUGUAUUUGAUUGAACAGGUUUGAGUUUACAAAUAUUAUAGUGAACGGGUUUGAGUUUACAUAAAUAUGUAUGAUUAUUUUUUUCUUACGGGUUGAUGAGUUAAAUGAAAGAUGUUACGCUAUCAUCGUAUCAUUAUUUGACAUAUUAUACAUAUUUAGUUAAGUUGAUUAAAUUACGAUUAUAAAAUCAAUUUCUUAUAUAGUAUUCCACGGGUUAAAUCAUAUAAUUAACAUUCACAAUAAAAUUGUACAAUCUUAAAUACUAAAAAAAUUAAUAAACAAAUACAACUUAAAAUAAAAUAAAAAUAUUAGUUACAAAAAAUUAUCCAACGAGUUAAAUAAUAAAAUAUACAAUCAAAAUACAGUUACAAAAUUUUAAAAUACUAAAACAAUUAACAAAUAUAACUUAAAUAUAAAAUUUUUAGUAAAAAAAUUGUCUCGCGGUGUACCGCGACUGAAAACCUAAUAAUAAUAUAUAAUGUUCUUCUUCUAAUAUGUUUCUUUGAAAACAACUACCAUACAAAUAAGGGAUUAUUAUAUGUUAUGCCAAUUAUAUAAGCAAAAAAAUUAAGAGUGCCACUUUCAAUAACUUAUUUUAUGUAGUGCCAUAUUAUUUGGAAAAGACAUGGGUGAAAUGAAACAACUACCCAUAGUAAAAUGGAGAGGUUUUGGUGUUUGGUUCAAAAAGUUAAGGUUGAUAGGACAUUUUUCAGCUAAAGAGAGCAUUAAAUGGUGACAACUGUUUGUCCAAAAAAAAAAAGAAAUGGUGACAAUUGAGGCUAUUAUCCAGAGGACAAACGUUUUAUUGGGUAAUUAGAGAGUUAAUUGAACCACAAAAAGAAGAAUGAGUGUUGUUAAUGGAGGACAAGUAAGAGAGAGAAUUUCUAGAAGUGGUGAAUGGUGAAGAAAGAGAACCAAAUUUUUUCGAGCUUAAGAGGUUAUUAGCAACAAACAAGAUCGACAAAGGCAUACAAAAUUAAAAAUGUCUAUGGCUGUUUGAAUGUCCAUCAGGAAAAUACCUCGUAGAUGUGUGAAUGUCCUGGAAAAUCUCUCUUCGAUGGACAUUACUGCUCAUAGCUUUGAGUCUAAGGACGAAUUCAGUAGGCAAUCUCUCUUCUAUGGACAUUACUCGUCUAUAGACAACUGAUGGCUCGAAUAUGUCAUGAAUUCUUGUCCAUGAUACUUUCAUCGGAUUUGGUCCACUAGAUCUAGUCCAUCAGAUCUAUUCCAUCAGAUUCUAGUACAUCUACAGACAAAUGUGUUAUCCAUAGCGUAAAUUUGGUUAGAUCGUGGAUGACGUCUUUCAUAGAUGUAUUAUUUUUUUCAUCCUCUGGUCAAUCAGUUUUGGUUUUAAGAAAUUUUAAGAUAGACAAGAUUAAUUAGUAAACAUUAACAAGUUUGGUCUACCGAUUUCGAUCUAUCAGAUCUGGUCCACUGAGAGAUAAAUACAAAAUCUGGUCCACUGUCGGAUCUAGUCCGUCGAAACCAGAACUGGUCUACCGGAGCUGGUCCACCGGAAUUGUUAAGGUAUUUGUUGUUGAAGAAAGAAAAAAAAAAGAUGAAAGAAGAAGAGAAAGAAAGAGAUGAAAGAAAAAGAUGAGAUGAAAGAAAAAGAUGAGAUGAAAGAGAAAGAGAUGAAAGAAAAGAGAGAAAGGUUUAGAAGGCCAAAUUUGACAUUUGAAUAACUUAAAAGUGGGUCAUGUGGCAUUUUUUAAAAAGUUGUAUUGAAUGUGGCAUUUUUCAGAAGUUUGGCCGUUUGGAUACUGUUCAUGGUUCUAAAAAUAACCAUAGUGAUAACAACAUGUUAGAUAUGACAAUAAGGUGUAUAUUUUUUUAUUGUUUUACACUAUGAAUAUGGGAUUUGAGAGAAUCAAAUUUAUGUAAAUGCACUUAAUCAAUAAAUAAAUAAGAUAUCGAGUAUCAUUAAAAACUUUACAAGAUCAUAAAGUUUCUUCCAUGAUAUGUUAAGUAAAAAUGAAAAUUUCAUUACAUCGUGUAAAAUCACUUAAUUCAAAAUCAGUCAUUGAUUACAUAUUUACAUGAUUUAAAAAUAAUAAUAUGAGAAUAUACUUUUUAUUUAUUAAUAUUUUUUCUAAGUCUCAGUAUCUAUACUUUAAUUAGGGAGCAAAAAUUGUAUCCAAACAGACCCCAAAAAAAUAUAUAUAUAUAUAUGAUAACAAACCUGUUGCCAAACAAAAUUAAUGAAAACAUAUUUUUCUGGAAAAAAAAAAUCAAAACUAAUAUAUAUAUAUAAAUCAUAUUUUAAAUUUUUAAUAUAUUUCUACUUAACUUAAACUCAUAUAUUAAAAAAUUAUUAUAAAUAUGUUCUAAGUAUUAUAAAUAUUUAAAGUUAAUAAAAUGUUAUAAAUACUUUAAAUUCAAAUAAUUUUUAAACUUAAUAAAAUUCUAAACAUUUUUUAUAAUUUCAAGUAUUUUACAUUAUUUGUCAGAUAGUCUAUUUUACAUUUAAUUAUAAUCAGAAUUUUAAUUUUUUAAAUAAUUUAUCCAACAAAACGAGCUGAUGUCAUUAUUUUGAAUAUAUAUGUCACUAAUAUAAAUUGUAAUUGUAUAAAAUACAAUAUAUUUUUCACCUGUAUUAUAAAUAGAUAGCAUAUCUAGCCAAAAUAUAUAAAUUGAAUUAUUUUAUUGCAUUAAAUACAUUAAUUUAUUUUUAAUAAAUUGAUACAUGAUCGUGUGAUAACUUUUUGCAACAUGAUUUUAAUCGUAUGCAACAAGAGUACAAAUAUUAUACAAGAUGGGAACGAGAUGGAAAGAUAUCUGAACGGAAUGUAAGCAUAUAUUUCGUACAAAAGUCUUAGAAUAUGUUACAACCAAAAUUAAUUAAUGCUUGCAAUUUUAUUUGUAAUUUUUACAUCAUCUAGCAUAAAAAUGUUUAAACUGAAAAAUAAAAAACCAUUAACUAUGUUCGAUAAUUGUUAACAUCUUUUAAAACAAGAAACAUAACCAAUAUGGAUGAACUAAAUAUAUAAAAAUAAGAAUAACGAAGUCAAUUAUUUUCGUAAUUUAUUAUUAUAUUAGAUUGUAUAUAAAGAUACUCACAUAACAUUCCAUCGGAAAAAAAAACCUUGAUAGCUAAUUUAGCAAAACUACAAUAAACCCAUUAAUUAAACCAAAAAUAUAGAAAUACCUAAAUUUGUAGAAAACAAAAAGGCUAAAACUUGAAUCUUUGUAUUGAAGAAAGUAAUGGGAAAUAAAGAUGAAACUGAACGUUUAAUAACAUUAAAAAUCGAAAAAGGGUUGUGUAUGGUCGGAUUAUAGCCUUGAGAAUCGAAAAAGGGUUGUGUAUCUUAGAUUGAUAAUUUGAUUUUUAUUAAUUUAAUAAAAAUAAAUAUUGAAACGAGGAAUACGGGUAUCCCUUCUAAACUUCUUACCAAGUUUCUUAUAAUAAACAUUGGCAAAUGAUUGUUUUUUUAAAAGACAUGAGAGGUUUCCUAAUCUAAACUAUACGUAAAAUAACUCAAAUUAAAGCCAAAUCCAAAUUUGAUCUCAUUUAAAAUCCCUAAUCAAGCAGUUAGAAAUGUUCUGAUUGGUUUAAAAAAUAAACACGUAAUAUCACUUAAAUUUUUCAUUUAAAGUAUUUUAAAAUUUUAUUGUGUAAUACAGUUUUAUAUAAAUUUUACAAUCAUAUGUCUAUGUAUAGUUUAUCAAAUAAACUCAUAUAAUAAAUUUUUAUCAAAAUAGCAUCUACAUAAAAAAAUCUUAGGUUUGCAAAAACAACCCUGUGUCCAUCACUAAUAUCGUUUUACAAUUGGAAAUUUCAAUGUUUUUUGCUACCAUAAUAUCUAAAUCUAACUAUUUGAAAAGUUUUAUAUAUGUCAAAAUCUUAUAAAGAGAUUUGACACAUUACCAUAAUGUUAAUUAAUGACUAACUUUACAAAACUAACUUUAUAUAGAAAAUUAAUAAAAAUUUACAUCAAAAUUUAAUAUUUAAAAAGAAAAUAAAAAUAAAUAUCUUCUUCAAAAUGUGAUAUCAAUUUGAUGUAUUCUUUCCUUUCUAAUAUCCUAAUUAACUAUUAGCAAUUAUUCUAUUAUUAGUUUUGAUACUAUAAUUUUACUCUCUCUCUCUCUCUCUCUCUCUCUCUCUUUCUCUCUUGGUUCCUUUUAAACUUUUGUUAUAUUUCGAUGAUAUCUGUGGCGUAGAUCAUUAGAGAGGUUUAGCGGUCGUUUCACAUUCUCCCCAAAGGUGUUAAUAGCGUGAGAGAUAGAUAGAGAGAGAGAGAGAGGAGAUGUGACCAAACAAAUCGAAUUGAGCAGAUAACAAAUUCACGCUUCUUGGGUUCUCCUUUUCGUUUCUGAAAUUUCGAAAUCUGAAGCUUGAGAAAUCUCGCAAAAAGGUAUCAUUUUUUUCACAUUGUUAUCUCCGUUUGGUGGGUUUGUUUUUGAGAUUCUUCUGUGUAUUGGGUUAAAGGGUUUAGUAAUUAAGUUGUUUUGAAUGUUAAAGUUGGAACCUUUGAUGCUAUUGUUUGAUUUGUGCUUCACCUAUUCUCAUUGAUCCAAAGAAAGGACUCUGCUUUAGAAUUUGUCUACUGAUUGAGUUAAUUUGUUGAUUCUUGUUGUUUAGGGUCAGCUUUUGUUGAGAUUCUUCUGUGUAUUGGAUUAAAGGGUUUAGUAAUUAAGUUGUUUUGAAUGUUAAAGUUGGAACCUUUGUUUGAUUUGUGCUUCACCUAUUCUCAUUGAUCCAAAUAAAGGAAUCUGCUUUAGAAUUUGUUGAAUUCUUGUUGUUUAGGAUCAGCUUUUGUUGAGAUUCUUCUGUAUUGGCUUAAAGGGUUUAGUAAUUAAGUUGUUUUGAAUGUUAAAGUUGGAACCUUUGAUGAUAUUGUUUGAUUUGUGUUUCACCUAUUCUCACUGUUUGAUUGGCAAUUUUUUUGUUGUCUUGUUGGUCAGCUUUUGUUGAGAUUGAUAGAGUUUAGAGUAUGAUGAUGAAUUACUUUAGUCAGGUUUCUUUGAUUGGUUCUUUAACUGUUGUGUUCUUGUUUUAUGCAGGGAGAAAAAUAUUAUGAGUUGGUGAGUUUCAGAAGCAUAGAUGACGAUUCGAUCGUUGCGUAAACAACCUCCUGUGAAACUUGUGUUUCCAACUCUGAUUAUACUUUUCUUGACAUGUUUGUUUUGUAUCCUCACGAAUUUGCAAACCAUAUCGUAUCUUUUUCGUCCACUUUGGGAUAAGCCGCCGCCACCUUUCAAACGGAUACCGCAUUACUAUGCUGAGAAUGUUUCCAUGGGGCAUCUUUGUGAACUUCAUGGGUGGACACCUAGGUCAGAACCAAGGCAAGUCUUUGAUGCCAUUAUUUUCAGCAAUGAGCUGGACCUUCUCGAACUCAGAUGGCGGGAGUUGGAGCCUUAUGUUUCGAAGUUUGUGAUUUUGGAAUCGAACACUACUUUUACAGGGAUCCCGAAGCCGCUUUUCUUUGAUUCCAAUAGGGAGAGAUUCACGUUUGCAGAGGGUAAGAUAGUACAUGGAGUGUUUCCUGGAAAAAAGCGUUCCAAGGGGCAGCCAUACGAGGACCCGUUUGUGCUGGAGGGGCAACAGCGGGUAGCAAUGAACUGGUUGCUUAGAGAUGCUGGAAUCUCGGAUGGAGAUGCGGUGAUAAUGUCAGAUGCUGACGAGAUUCCAAGUCCUCAUACUGUGAAAUUUCUACAGUGGUGCGAUGGGAUACCAGAUGUAAUGCAUCUAGAGAUGAGGGAAUACAUGUACUCCUUCGAGUUCCCAGUUGAUUUCAGCAGCUGGAGAGCAUCUGUCCAUAUAUAUAGUAGGAAGUGGACUCAAUACAGGCACUCACGACAAACAGACUUGAUAUUAUCCGAUGCAGGGUGGCAUUGCAGCUUCUGUUUCAGACGACUCAGCGAUUUCGUUUUCAAGAUGAAAGGCUAUAGUCAUGCAGACCGAGUCAAGCGCAAGGAGUUUUUGGAUUACUCGAGAAUACAAAGACACAUAUGUAAAGGUUAUGAUCUCUUCGACAUGCUUCCUGAAAAAUACAGUUUCAAAGAGUUGAUAAGCAAUAUCGGACCAAUCCAGCGUUCUGCAUCUGCGGUACAUCUACCUGCCUUUUUGAUUCAGAACGCUGCUCGCUUUCGGUUUCUCCUCCCAGGAGGCUGUCUCCGAGAACCCUAGCUGAAGGUUAAGUACAAAACAAAAUAGAGAAGCAGUAGUUUCUUGUAAAAAAGGUUUUUGGCGUCACACAAACUUCAAAUCCGAAACAACGGAUAAAUAAGAAAUAGAUCCUUAUCCCAUGUUCUGUAUAUGGUGUUUUACAUAACUUCUGGUGCGUUACAAAACCAGGCCAACACUCAUCAAGCCAAUCUUGUGCACCAUCAUCAUCAGUCCCACUCUUGUACCAAAUGAAUUCAACUUAGAGAUAAGCAAAUAUGAAUCAAAGCACUAGAGAAAUGAGAGGUAAGCCACAGAGUUUAUAUUGGGAGACUCAUAAUGAAUCAAGAAAACAAUAUUACCAAGUAAGCCACAGCCGCUCGAGCCUCUCCUGGUCCGCAGCAACCGUAAGUAAUUUGGCUCGAACGGCAACAAUGAAUCCUUUUCUCAACCGUUGUAUUCAAAUCUAGUUUCAUUGUUGUCUUUACAUAAAAAGUGAUUAUCAUUUUCUUUACCUCUUGGCUUCAGAAUUGAUGUUGAACCUAGAAAAUAUUUUAUCGAGUUAAGCAUAACCAAAAAAUAAAUAAUACAUAAUAAUCGCAUAAACAAUCUCAAAAUGGUUAUGAAUAACAAUAAUAAAAUUAACAAAUGAUUCAAAGAGUUUGUCUUUCUUUACCGUAACAUAUUUGGGAAAAUAGCAAAAUUAACAUAAAGUAAUUUUUGACGGUAUUUUUGUACCCAAACUAUAAUAACCAUCAAGUAGCAACCUAAAGUCACAAAAAAAUUCAAAUUCUCAACUUAAACUAUAUGAAAUUAGCUAAAAUCAACAUAUACCGAAACUGCGUUACUUAACCACUUAACGACGCUGAGUCAGCUGACACCGUGGCAAUGACGGGACAUCGGAGUUGAGUAAUAUGACGUCGUUUCGUGAGUUUACGGUUCUCGAAUUGAUGAUUCGAUGAGUGUUUACUUUAGCAGUUCUUUGAUUCGAGAAUCCUAAACUCACGAAACGAAAUCAUAUUACUCAAUUCUGACGUUCCGGCAUCGCCACGAUGUCGGCUGACUUAUCGCCGUUAAGUGGUUAACUAACACAGUUUCUAUAUGUUGAUUUUGGUUGAUUUCAUAUAGUUUAGGUUGGGGAUUUGAAAUUGUUGUGAGUUUAGAUUGUUAUUUGUCGGGUAUCGUAGUUUGGGUAUAAAAAUACCGCUAGCAAAUAGUUUGGAUUGAUUUUCGCUGUUUUUAUAAAAAAAAGAAAAUAAAGAAAAUAGUAAUGUUUUGCAUGUACUUUGUAAUAUGUUCACAUAUAUUAUAGUGAUUUGUCAUAUUUUUUUUUACUUUUAGUGAAUGUUAUUCGACUGAAAUGAACAACUCACUCCAAAUUAAUGUGAUUAAGAAAAUUAGAAUUAUAACCACAAACUAGUUCUUAACCAAAUACAUAUCAAGUAUUAUUUAUAAUAAAACUAUGCGUGCAGCAAAGUAAAGUUCUCUGUCUGAGUUUAAGUUCUCAUCAUUUUCUCUAUGUAUAUGACUAAGUUCUCAUCAUUUUCUCUAUGUAUAUGACUAAGUUCUCAUCAUCAUUAUUUAUAAUAAAACUAUGCAUAUGACUAAGAUAGAUAGAUUGAAAGAAAGAAACUAAAAAUCAACAAAAUCUCUGUCUGAGUUUAAGUUCUCAUCAUUUUCUCUAUGUAAGAAAUAUCAAAUCUCACAAUUAUAAACGAAACAAAAAUGGUCAAUCACUAGAAAGUAUUUCUUCAUUUACCAUUUUUUUGAAGUCAAUACAAUACCAUAAAACUAACAAGAAAUAAAGAAGAUUGGGAAAAAAAGGUAAUAAAAAUUUACAGAACAAAUCAUAUAUCAAGCUAAGGCUCUUUAGUUUUUUUUUUUUUUUUUUUUUUUUGAUAAACCCGAUCGGCUGAUCCGGUCAGCUCUGGGAGGAUCACACCGAAGUGCUACAAUGUGGACUCGUCGCCAAUACCUAGGUGUUGAGCUACCACAUCGCCUGAAUCCAGAUUAACGCUUUCCGACUAAUGCCCGGGAGUUAUCAGGCCGCCUGCAUUUCUGAUUACCAGGUAAACCAAUUGGAUCUAAGCCCAACUGACAGACUUCACACAAAGAUGGUGUUAACAGCAAAGUGGAGAAUUGAACCCAGGUUGUGGGAGUUGCACCCUUCCUCCAAGCUCCCCUACCACUAGCCCACCACCUCUUGGGCCUCUUUAGUUUUUUUAAACAUAGUAAUCUAAUAUCGUUUCAUUUAAAUAAUACAUGUACACCUAAUUGUUUAAUUCAAUGAUGAACAUAAGAAUUUUAUAAUCUUGAAAGAGAAAAUUCCGAAAAAUAUCCAUCUAGUUUUUAUUUGAACGUUUAAUACCUAAUGUUUUUUGGUUAGAAGAAUGAUAUCCAAACAAAUAAAAGUGUGCAACUUAAUACCCAAAAAAAAUAAAAAUUGUUAUUCAUAACAAACAAAAAUUUCCGAUUUUACCUUUACUAAUUCUUAACUUUUAUAAAUAUAUAUAUAUUAAAAAUAAGAAAAUUAAUUAAAUAAAAUAUAAAAAUAAGAAAGUUUCUGGUUCCUCCUAAUCAGCCGAGAUUUCAUUUCUAAAGAAAUUCCGGUUAAUCUCUUGAGGUUCACGGUCUCAGAACACUAAAAUUCCGGUGAAUUCAACAAAUAAAACAUAUUUAAUUAUUAUGGAUAUAGAGAUGUUUUCCUUUGAAUCUCCAAUCCCUUUAAAAAUAUUAAUAUUUUCUGUAGAAUCACUAAUUUCUCAUCCGUUGGUGAAAUCGCAUAUACAAGCACAAGGUUCGAAGAUGUGCUGAUGUGCCAAACCCUAAUUUGAUAAAGACUAGCUGGAAUCUCGUCGAAGACAAAAUCUCAGCUUACUGGGAGGAAUCGAAAGUUUUCUUAAUUACCUUUAAUUUAUUUAAUUAUUAAAUAUAAUAAAUAGGGAAGAGUAAGGGUAAAAUCAAAAUUUUUAGUUUGUUAUGAGAACUCAGGUAUAUAAAUAAUAAUAUUUAUUUUUCAUGUAUAAAGUUGCAUAUUUUUAUUUAUUUGGGUAUUAUUAUUCCAACAAAAAAAAAUUAGGUAUUAAAUAUCCAAAUAUCAAAUAGACACGUGCGGCCCUGAGGUAACUUUCCCUUGGGUAAUCUGGUAUAUUUGGAAAGCUAGGAAUGCAAAGAUUUUUGAGAAUUUGGAUGAAAGUCCUAUGGACGUGGUUAAUCUGGCCAAUAGCGAGGCGCGAGCCUGGCAACAGGCCCAGGUUGAUGACACGGGCCAACCUAUGGCUUCUCAGCUUUCAUUCCCUCGGGUGCGGGGCGGCCCACCAUCCCUCCGUCCCUCUCUUAUAGGCUACCACUGCUUUGUGGACGGCUCCUGGAAGGCAACUGAUGCAUUCUCAGGCAUAUGCUGGUUCUGUCAGCAUUCCUCAGGACAUUCAACGAUCAGGGGGGCAAUGAAUGUCCGACGAAGUCUAUCUCCUCUCCAUUCUGAAGUGGAAGCGCUUGUAUGGGCAGUGAGAUGCAUGGUUGGCCAUAAUUUCAGAGAUGUUGUUUUCCUUACAGACUGUUCAGAUUUGGUGAAGAUGGUGUCUUCUCCUUCCGACUGGCCGGCUUUCUCAGUAUACCUUGAUGAUAUCCAUAUCGACAUGGAAGAAUUCUCUUCUUUUUCUUUAUCUCUUAUUCCAAGAAAUGCAAAUGUAAAAGCGGAUUUUUUGGCACGCAAAGUUCGUACCAUUCCGCUUCAUGUCAAGUAUGUAAACAAUGUUCCCUCUGAUUGGCUCGUUUGAGCCAAUUUGUUAGUAAGUUUGUUGCCAAAAAAAAAAAUAUUAAAUGGGAUAUUUUUUUGGAAUUUUCCCAAUCCUGAAAUCAUAAAGGUUUAAACCAAAUUUGUUUUCCAUAAUUACUAAUAAAAGUAAAGAUAAAUUAAAUGUUACUUUUUCCCUGGCUACUAGCAUAAAGUUUGAUUAUUAAGUAGCAAAAUCGACAAGAUUGAAAAAAAAAAAACACAAAUGAGAAAUUAAUCAUUUAGAAUUUGAAGGAAUAGAAUUUGAAGUUUUUUUUCACUUCUUUUUCUUCUUCUUCUUCGAUGCUUUUUGUGCACUAGAGCCACCACCACAAACAAUGGAACACUCAAUGCCACAAAUGUUACCAAAACAUGAAAACAAUCCAUUAUCUCCUCCUUUCUUGUUCCUCCCACCUUGUUGCUUUGGGAGUGGAACAAUCAUCUGAGUAUUUCUUGGUACGAUUUCAUUUGGCUUGUAACUUGAUUUAGGGACAUUAAAGGAGUUUGUUUUGUAGUCAGAACUUGGUUGAUAACUUGAACCAACAUCUACAACCACUGGUAGAUUUGCUUGCCACCUUUCUAGCUUAGACCGAAGACCUUCAACGCUUCGUUCACCAACACUUAUUACAGUACUUUCCGCGUCUAGUUUCCCUGUAAGAGCCUUCUCCUUUGCAAUUUGGGCAGCAACCACUGAGGCUGAAGGACCUAAAUCAGAUUCUGUAAUAACUAUUGGUCUUGACCUCAUUGGUGUUCCAUAUUCGAUACGGUUCCUUUUAGGAGUAUAUGCUGUCGUGUUCCUUGGCCUCAUCGGUGUCCCAUACACGAUUUGUUGCUUCUUUUGCCUCAACAAUGUGUUUGGUGUUUUGCUUUGGGACUCAUAUACAACCAUCUGAGAGUCAGAUGAAAACUCAUCUUUCUCAAAACCCGAGUUUGUAGUAUAACUCAUAUGGGAUUGUGUCACCUUCCUUGGAGAAUCCACCAUUGAGCUUGUAUCACUUUUCGACCGUCGAAGACCUACAGGUUUUGUAGAUAUGUUUUUCUUGUGAAACAACAAAUCUUCUUCAUACAAAAGUGGCAUACUAUGGCCCGAGUUAUCGAUAAGCCCCACCGCAAUAUUUAAAAGGCCGUGAGGGCGGCCAGACGCACGAAGAACCUCUAAGGUAACAAAUCUCAUAGCUGAAGAAGGUGAGACAAGGUCACUUAUUAAGGCUUGUACCGUUCCAACAUGAAUGUCUUUGAACCAAUGCAAUGCAUAGAUCUCUAUAACAACUAUUGUUGUAUCAUCGUAGGUUGUUUCCUCAUCAAGACGAAACACAAACUUGUCGUUCCAUGUAGGUGUUGUUCCACCCGUAUUGUCGACUCGAGUCAUCAGUUUACGCUCCGGAUCGAUCCAAGCGAUAGCAUAUGUCUUCAUACACCGUGCCACGGGAGCUAAUUCUUGGGCCGAAAUAAUAUUCAGCUCCAAGAUUUGACAAGGUGCAAGAAAAGACAUUUUUCUUGAUUUUCUUGAUUACAAAACCAAAUCUGAAAAAGUAUCAAAGGAAAUGUAGAGAAUGAGAUUUGUUUUUAUCGGUUUGAUAUAAAGACAGUUCCGUCGUCGUCCUUGGAGGGGACGACGAAGGAAAGCAAUGCAUGAAGAUGAAAAUGGAAAAGCAAAUUAACAAAGACACCCAAAAAUAAUAAUCAGCAAAAAAAAGAUUUUUUAUUUUUUUUAUUUUUAUUAAUUUAUUUGUUCUGGUUUUUGUUAUUUUAGAACACCGAAUCAAUUGCAUUACUUUACGUUGACUACUAUUUUCUUACAUUAAUCUCCUGUCACUAGUUUUAGAUCUCUCUUUCCCUAUUUUUUAGAAAUUUUAUUUUAGGUUAGUUUCUGUUAUAUAUUACUCUUAAUUCUGGAUUUUUUAGACAUUUGUUAUUGUUGCAAUUACUUAAUUAGAGAUUUACUUAGAAAAAAAAAAUGGAAGUUCUGCUUGGUUCUCUUUGAUGAGUUCUUAGAAAGUGAAAGAUCGCUAGUAAUGAGUCUUAUUGGGAACACAAAGAUGUACAAGUUUUUUAACUGUAAUCUAGAGCGGUAAACUGUUACAAAUUAAAUAACGCUUUUAGUAAUACUUUAAUAUCGUUUCGGUGAUUGGUAAUUGUCAUAGACGAUUCACCAUGUACCAUGGUGGUACGCGUCACCAAUCAAAGCCAAUAUUAAAAGUAACUGAUGAAUUAAAAAAAUUAAAGGCCUAUAGCCAAUGCCAUGGUUCACUAUAUUUAUGACUUCCAUGGGUUUAUAAAUAGAUUUGUUGAAUACUUAAGACCUUAUUAAGACCUUAUGUUCCUUCAUUUUGAAAUAAAUCUUCCAAACCAAGUCGUCUUGGUCCAGUGAUAAAGGGAGAUAAAUUCCUUCACCUGGGUUCGAAUAGUAUUGGCCAUGGAGAUUCGAGAUUUAAUAUGGUUUUUCCCGGCCACAAAAGAUUUGUCUUUGGACCUAGAGAACCUUUGGGAUCAUUCCCGAUAAGAAAAAAAAAAAAUCUUCCACAAUGGCUUUAACAAAUUGAACACCUAUACAUAUUUAAAUCUUCCACAAUGGCUUUAAAAAAUCUUCCACAAUGGUUUUUAAACCAACAUCCAUACAUAUUUAAAAUAGGACUAAUAGGAUAUUUAGUAUAUUUUGAGAAGUUAAUUGGGGAAGUGAUACAUUUACUAUUCAAAAUUGUCAAAGUAGUACAUUUGUGAGAUAGAAAAAGAAGGAGAAAAAAUGACAAGGGAGGGCAUUUUUUUUUUCUUUCCUAUUUCGUUUUUCUUUUUGUUUUUUGAUUUUUUUUUUUUUCUAUUUUUUUUAAUAUUCUUACUCCAACAUUCUAAUAACUAAAAAUUCUUGUUUUUGUAAUCAUUUUUCAAAACUUUUUUUGAUUCACAAAAAUCUAUGUUUUUUUUCUCUUUAACUUGAUAUGCAUUUUGCUUAGUAAAAUUUAAAUACAUUUCAUAUGUAUAUAUUUUUUUGUACACUUUAGUAUAUGUACAUACAUUUUGUACACCUGAUUAGAUGUACAGAGUACCCGUACAGCUUACUAUAUGUACGCAUGUAUAAAAAAUUACACAUUUUUAUCCGUACAAUUACUAUGAUAUAUGAAUUUAUGCAUAUUUAUGUACAUAUUUGUACACUAAUAUGUUGUACGGAUGUUACUGUGUAAUAUUUUUAUUAUUGUACAAAUAUAUGUUUUUACACUUCUGUACAUAAAAUAUGAUGUACAAAUUAUAUUAUAUAAUCAUUAUAUAAUUAUUCUAAUGGCAUACUUGUAAAUAAUAUGUUUUUUGAGUGCUUAAAGGUCAACAAAAUAGUAGCAAAUAAUGAUAAUGUACUAGUUUCCUAAAUAUAAAUAGUGAUUGUACUAGUUCUAUAAUUAAGUUUCAAAAAUGUACUAUUUUCUAACACACCCUUUAAAAUAUGGUGUGGAAAUUACAAAAUAUCCUCUUCCCAAACAUAGUUUUGGACUCAAGUUCGGUUCCACUUAAACAUCCUAAGAGCACCCAUCCCUCGUACACAUAAAAACGAACGGAUUGAGACAAAGUUAACUGAGUAAUAAAUAAUUUGACCUUUUGUUUAAUAAGUUUGUUGGUGAUCAUAGCAAAUAAAAACAUAGAUAAUGUAGUAAAAAUAUAGAAAGGAGAAAAGAGAAAACAUGAGAGUUGUUUACAUUGAGAGGAAGAGAAAGAUAGAGAAAGAGUUGUAGAAAUGGAUUAGAUUCUAGAGAGAAUGAGAGGGAUGUGGUUCUGAAGAUAAGUAGAAGCAGCUGCAACUCCACUUCCCAUUACAAUCGGGUACCCAACAUCCUUCAGUAUCAUCUCCACUCCAGCAAGACAUCCCAAAAGUUGCAACUGCAUAUAUGAUUUGUAGUGUUUGAUUUAGAGUUUGAUCAAUCAAAGAUUUGAUUACACUAAGCUGUAUAGCUCAUAAUGUUACCUCAUUCACAUUUCCAAGGUGUCCAAUUCUGAAAACCUUUCCAGCCACUUUGUUGAGACCAAGACCAAGACUUAGGUUGUACCUCUGCCAUGCCCUUCUCACUACCUCUGAGCCAUCUAUAUUUGGGGGCACCAUUACUGCUGUCACAGUGUUACUUAUCCACUCCUCCUUCUGUGUGCAGUUCUUCAGCCCCCAUGCUUCCACCGCCAGCCUAUGUACAUGACCAUAUUUACAAUCAAACUCUAGUAACAAUGUUAUCAAGACUUGUUGUACUAAUUAACAAGACUUUUAAGUAUUUAAACUAUUCAAGACUACGAAUUCGAGUACUCGCUUUGGAUAGAUAAUGGAACAAUAUCGCGUUACAUAGCUAAACUUUACCUGGUGGCCUUUCCGAGACGAGCAUGACGAGCGAUUAUAUUCUCAAGUCCUUCCUCGAAGAUAAGAUCAAGAGCGGCUCUGAGACCGUAGAGGAGUUGAAUGGAAGGUGUGUAAGGCCAAUAGGUUCCCAGCUUGUAAAACUUGAGGUAGUCAUUCCAAUCAAAGAAUACUUUGAGGGAUUUAGAGGUUUUGGUAGCUUCCAAGGCUUUAGGACUAGCACACACAAUACCAAGUCCUGUUGGAAGAGAUAAGGCUUUCUGAGAGCCGGUCAAGGCAACAUCCACUCCCCACUCAUCCAUUCGGAAAUCAAGCGCACAAAUGGACGAGACACCGUCCACAAGCAGCAAAGCCGGAUGCUUGUAGUGAUCUGUUUUAUACACUUGUGUUAGUGAGAUUUAAAACAGAGGAAACACACAAAAAUACAAGGAAAUGGUUUGUAAAGAGUUAAUAACCAAGGAGGGUUCGGACAGCAGAGAUGUCGUUGGUGACUCCAGUAGCUGUCUCAUUGUGGACAAUGCAAAUGGCUUUGAUGGAAUGACUCGCAUCUUCAGAGAGCUUCGAGGCCAACACUUGGAGAUUAGCACCUUGUCCCCAAUCACUCUCAACCACAUCAACAUUGAAAUUUAGCCUCUUCUGCUGGUCAAUCCAGAGCAAGCUAAACUGUCCGAUCAGAAACGAGACGAUCCUGUCUCCAGGAGAUAGCGUGUUGGUCAAGGCACUCUCCCAAGCACCAGUCCCUGUGGUUGGAAACAGAAAAGGUGUCCCAGAUGUUGUCUUGAAUAUCUUCUUCACAUCUUCCAACAAAGUUUUCGUCAGUGCCGGAAUAGCCGGUGACCGGUAAUCCUCGUUGUUCCGGUUCAUCGCCCGGAUCACCGGUUCCGGUAUGUUCACUGGCCCUGGCACAAACAGAUGGUGCCUCCCUGGUCCAUACAUGUAGUCCAUUUUUCUCCUUUUUUUCUUUUCAACCCUCUCCUUCUGUACUCUGUCAAAAGUUUCACAAGACUUCUAAAUUAUAUUCACAAACUCAAAAAUAUAAGAUAGAACCAUAUGGAGACUAUUGGCUACUAUAAACUCCAAUAAACGUAUAUAGAAUUAAAUACAAAGAUCAUAUCUUAUUUAAGCAAACAAAUAAUAUAUACGUUACAAAGAGUUAUAACAAGUUUCAUGGGCAAGAUCAUAUACUCAUAACAAGCGGAGAAAACUAAGGCAGAGAAAGAGAGAGAGAGAUGGAGAAGUUAACCUCUGAAUAAGGGGGAAGCUCCUGAGGGGGCCUUUAGGAAUCCUUCGUCUUCACAAAGCUCUUUAAUAUAUAUCUUGUAAAAUUUUUAUUAUUUGUUUAAUUUUUUUUUUUUUCAUUUUUACAUGUUUGUGUACGUAUCAUAUUAGUUUGUAAGUUUGUGUAUACCAAUCAAGUAGCUUUGCCAUAUUGGAAUCUUAGACGCGUGGCGGAUAAGAGCAACGUGAAAAAUCUUUGAGCUUACGUAUGGCUCAUAAUGCAUUUGUAGUACCUUUGUGUAUUUGCUCCUUCUUCUUUCUUUCUUUUGAAAUUUUCCCCAUUAGUUUUAAUUUGUUGUUUUUUAAGUCUAGUACUAAUAGUGUUUAUUUGAAAGAUGAGAAUUCUAGUUUGAGAGUUAUUUUCGAAAGAGAUAGUGUACAUACUAAAACUAUUUCUGAGUCUCGAGUUUUAAGGUAAAUAAAUAACAAAAAAUAGAAAAAGAUUAAAAAAAGAAAAAAUUAGUUUAUUUCGUGAGAACUCAAGUACUAAUGUUCAAAUAAUUUGUGUCUAAAUAGUUUUUUUUAAAUGAUGAAAACUUUAGUAUUUAGAACAAUUUUCGAAACAGAUUUAUUAAAAACUGCUUACGAACCAAACCUAUUCAGAUUAGGGUUUGUUCCGAAGUUUUUCGUAUAUCAGAGGGAAAAAAAUGAAAGCAAAACAUAAUGAGAUAUAGUAGGGGUUGUGGUGGGGUUAUUGGGGACAGAGUAAAUUUUGAAAAAAUUUAGGCUAUACAAUAAAAGUUCUAAGAAAAUUAUUAAAUACCCAUUCUUGAAUUUGUUUCGUAAAAACUCAAAUAGUAAUAUUCAAAUGAUCUUUGGUCUAUUAGAUUAUUUGAAAGUUGAAAAUUUAGUAUAUGAACAAUUUUCGAAAGAGAUUACUAAAAACAGCUAACGAACCAAACCUCAUCAGAUAAUGAUUUAUUCCGAAGUUUGUGGUAAACCAAAAGGAAAAAACGGAAUGAAAAACAUAAUGAGAUAUAGUGGGGGUUGUGGUGGGGUUAUCGGGGACGGAGUUACUUUCGAAAAAAGUUGGGGUAUAAAACGAAAGUUCUAAGAAAAUUAGGGAGUGAGAUUGUAAUAGGAAAAAAUACGAAAGAUAAGAGGUGGAAAAGGGAAGAGGGAGAGAUAAGGAGAUAAAAGGGAGAGAGCCACACAAGUUUGUUUUGCAACAAAGACCACACGACCGAACGCCGAAUCCUCGGGGACACUUCUUCACUAUCUCUCGCUCUCUUGUUUUAUGGUUUAGGAUUGUAUUUUGCCACACUAGAUGACACAAAUAUACUUAUUCAACAAAAAAAACUAUAUUUAGGUAUUGAAUGUAAAGAUUAUAUAUGUAAAAUACAAAACUUUAUUUGGCCAAUCGAUUAGGAUGUUUGAAUUUUUCAUUUACAUUAAAAAACAUAUUUGGAGUAAUUUUUUAUAUAAUUAUAUUGUAUUUACUAAGAAAUGACAAAUUAUUUAAUUAUUAACGAGUUUGAAACUACUUAGAACACUGCAAAAAAAAAAAGGAGUAAUUUUUUAGUUUAUUCAUUUGGGCUAAGAGGCUUCCUAUAAACAAGACAUGAUUACUUAAAAGUAGAUAUAAUAAGUGUUAAACUACCAAAUUUUGUUUGUAAACUUUUUCUUCUUUCUUGGAUUUCCACGAAACAAUAUUUUAAUAAAAGUUUGGUUGAAAAAAAAAAACUGGAUCAACUCAAGAUUAUCCUAAGAUAAUCUUUAAACAUCACACACACAUAAAUUAUCAUAUCAUAUUUCAUAUUCCUACCACUUAUUUAAUUGUUUUCUUGUCUAUGACUUCCACCUCAUGUCUUAAGCGAUAACAUCUCACUUUUGGCUAAUAAAUGACAAAAUUACCGAAAUUAAUAUAUUGAAAUGCUUUUUUAAAUUACAUGUAUAAUAUAAACAGUUUAAAUUGGAAAAAGGAUUUCUUAAAUGGCAAAAAUAACAUAUCGAUAAAUACAUUAUCUGGUAUGGUCUCGGACCUGAUAAAAUGUAUUUGUUUCGGUUCGAAAUCUCUUAUUUAUUCUAAAAUAAAAUAAAAUAAAUAGCAUAUCUAUAAAUAUAUUGUUUGCUUUUUUUUUAAUUACCUCUUGAUUGAUUAUUCUAUAACUAUAACUAUUGAUGAGUUAGCUCCACUCGACUUUGGUAUGUUUGUGGUAUUUGUUUUUGAAAAAUUAAAAUAUGUUUAGAACAUUUGAUAUUUUUGGUAACAAAAAUUAAAAAUAUAGUAUUUGAGUCAAUUUUAAUUAUAGUUGUUGAUAAAAAAAAAAAAAAAAAAAAAAUCUAACAUAUAGUAUUUUGAGAAAUUUCUUUAAAAAAAAUAAAGGUUAUGUUAUCAUUUGAUUCCAAAAUUAUGUUUACGUUCGAAAUCCUUCUCUCCAAGAGCUUUUUGGUGCCGAUGUUAGCGAGGUUGAAUCGAUGUAGACAUAAGAUGUGUUCCCCAUCACGUAUAAAAUGACAACCUAUCAGUUUUUUUCUUGAUUCGUUCGUAAAAUACAACAUUGGUUCUAAAGGUUUCUACAAUACCUAAGUAUAACAAGUAGCAACAACUAUACAAAUGAUGGUGUGGGUUUUUCAUUGAAACUUUCGAAAUGUAAAAACAUAAGAAAACACAGAAUAUAAUGUAAAAAUUAAAAUUAACAAAACUGGGUAAUGUACAAUUUGCUCUAUUCCAAAUGGGUAAACAUAUAUAUAGAUAUAUAAGAAAAAAGGAAAUGGAGUUCAGCAACUCAAGACUACAUCCACAACUAUUUUUAUACCUAAGCAAACCCAGCUGGUAAGUGCUAUCUCAUCUCUUUGCUCUGAAUAACAAAAGUUAUUUUCUCCGGUAUAUAUAUCAUUCCGUCAGCGUCAGCAUCAGCUAGUCAGAGGCAUGCUAAUCUCCAAUUUGAGCCAACCGAAACCGAACCAUUGCUGCUGUGUUUCCGACUUUCGUUUAAAAAAUGAAAUCUUCCGCGUAUCUAUUGUAAAACCAGAGUUCAACCGGCAAAUGCACAGCAUAUUGUAUGGGUACCAGAACAUAGUAUUACUUAUCUCGGGGGAAACCCAGUUUGACGUGCCCGAUGGUUUCUAUCCAAUGGCCCGGGGCCGAGUAUUCCCAGUGAGUUAGAGUUGGUUACCGGGGGUCGCUCAGACUGCGGGUCGUUUUCUGUUCUUCUUCUCCGUUUCCAUGCUUCAAACUUUGCUGUGUCAAUGCCUUUAUAUACUUGCUGUGAUCCUUGGGAAUUCCCUGCUGUUUUGAAUUUUUGUUGCCUCUGGAAGUUCCUAGAACCAAAGCCAGCAGAUGAGCCAUUGAGGUGCGAUGGUCCAACCCCUUCCUCUUCUUCUUUCUCCUGCUUCAGUUUGGAGUAUAUCUGAUUGAGUCGAUCCCCCGACAAAUUUGAGAAAGUUGAAACAUAGUUCCACAAUCUCAUUGUCAUUCCUGCAUUUUGAUUCCCCAUCAAUGAUACAACCAUGGACAUUAAAAUUGUUAUCUGAGUAUAAGCGUAUUUUGCGACUUAAGAGGCUAGCAGGGUUUAUCCAAUUAUCAUCAAGUUUUGAUUCUGAAUUUAUCCAAAAACAGAAAUGUGGCGGCAAAGUAACCAGAGAUUGUGUUACUUACUAUCUUGCUUGUAUAAAUCUUCUUCGUGUUCUAAAACAAUUUCAUCUAUUCUUCGCCCUAGGAUUUCCAAAUAUCUCCGGAUUUUGAAAAGCACCUGCGUGGUGGACACAAGGAGUUUUGAGAAAGAUCAGAUAAAGACACAUCAAUGUGCCACUAUGAACGAUGGAAGAGAAGAAUAAUAAAAAUGAAACCUUCUCCUUUGGCAGAUCUGCACUCGUGGUUUGCAAUCUUUGUAAACGUCCAAGAGUUUUGAUUUCAUCAGCCAAGACAUCUUCACACCAUUCCAUCCAUUUCUGCUCCUUGAACUGCUCGUAAACUUCCUCAUCAUCAGACAUUUCUCCUUCUUCCUUCACUAAUGGCUCAGCUUUUUGUGUUUUCCGAGAUCCAUCUUUUGUUGAUACUAAACUUAUAUUGGCAGGACCCGGUUUUCCUCUUCGGUCUCUGGCAGGUGCUUUAAAUUGAUUCAUAAGAUUAUCUUUAACCUUUUUUGAAUUUUUACGGGAUGCUUUGGCAUUUGUAUUUUUCCCUCCUGCUGCAGCAAGUUCCUGGUAAAAGUAAACUUCAUACUGUCAUUCUCUUCUUCAAGGAAGGUUAUAACAAAAUUAAUAACUAAGAGAAAUCAUAGCAAGUAAUAUGCACCAUUUCCAGAAGUGCAGUGGCACGCUCCUUCAAGUUUGGAGCACGAGGUAGAAAAGUCUCAUGGUGUUGAAGUUCAACAGGAGCAAUCUUCUUUGUAAGUCCAAGGCUCUCAUCUAAUCUUAUCUUUUCCCAAUUUCCAAAACCAUGAUAAAGUAUUCCCAGAAGCAAUCUCGCAUCAUCGACUGAGAACAACAAAUAAUAAAAUGAAUUAGGAUGAAAAUACACAAGACAGCUUAUAAGAUAAUAUUGAAUUAGGUUACACAUACUCUGAUUCCAACCGCAACCCUUUGACCAAUUUGACGGUUUAAGGUAUGACAACACCCGGAAUUGUGAAAUUGGAUCGUCAUAUCGACUAAUGCGCUUUGAUAGGAGCUGAAGCCCUUGCACACGUUUUAAUAGUUCGUUCGCUUUUACUGGCACACCAAAGAAAUCCAGCACAGGACCCUGCAGAGGAUAAAAAACAGGAAGAUUGGAAAUAUCCAAGUGAACAAUUAGGAAAACAAAAGAGUCUCCAAUUCAGAUGUUUUAUUUCAGGUGGUACCUUUGGUUCAAAAUUUUCUGUUUCAACAGAUUCCCUACAACCAUCAAGUAAAGCAUCAAACAGCUCAACUUGAGCUUCCUCCGGAGCUGCUUCAACAACACCACCCACCUCUUCUGCAAUACAUGCAAUUUGGUUAUGGUUCCCAAACUUCAUGACCUGAAUUAAACAUGAGACAUGUAACAAGCGUCAGUACAACAAUUUGAAAAUAAAAGUAAGUAAACCACUUAGAAACUAAUGGUGCAGAGGGAACCAUAACAAAAAUCAUGAAAUCAUUGCAGCAUAACAAAUUGAGGAGCCUUAAAUUCAAACCUUUUUCCAGUACUUAGAAAAUAUGCAGAAAGAAACAUUAAAUAAGAACAAUUUUGACAUACAGUUCGAUAAAAUCGUUGCGCAUCUCUCUUAGGAAGAUUUCCAUAAGACCAGCCUCUCACUUGAGCUGAAGUCCCCUCUAAUAUUGGGGUCGAAGGAACAAAAUAUUCAGUUUUUCUGCGCUUUUGAGUUCUUUCUGUAUGCUCCGGAGGCUCAGAUCCUUUCUUUUUUCUUUUACUAGUCCUGUCAGGCUGGCUAGGAUCCACAUAACUCUUCGUAGUCCUAGCAGCCCGUGGUGCAAGAGCUUCCUACACAAAGGUAACACACGUUUAGAAACUGAAAUAUCUAAUAUGAAUAUGUGAGAAAAAAAUUCCAAUGACAUAGGAGGCAUAUUUAAUAGAAGGAAGAAUUUUUACUUCGGCCGUAACCACAGAUUCAGGUUUUAUCCAACGACUCCAGAAGGACCCAUCAUCUUCAGCGUUGCAAAAGUUGGCAACCUAAAUGCAAAGAGAAGUUAGCAGAGUAAAGGAUUACACAAAUAUAAAAGAAAAUAGAUUCAGAGAUUUAUGCCCAGAACCGGUUUCGACGACCAGAAGGACAAAAGAAACACAUAAAGCAGCAUUUGAAAGAAGAUUUUAGUAUCAUAAUAAAGACCAAGCUGCCUACGAAGCAAAUAAUAGCCUCAGGCUGCUUUGCAAUUAUUAGGUUCACUUAAUCUAAAGACGGAAAGAGUAAAAAAACAUCUGAACUUGCCUUAAAAGCACCCAACAGUUCGUGUUCUGUUUCACCAGUAUCCUUUUCCUCAACUUGCUCUGCCCUCUCUAAGAUUUCAUCAAUAUCCAUACUCAACAGCCGUUUUUUACUUUCUUCUUCAUUUUUCUCUUCUUUAAAAAGUUCUUCCGCUCCAAAUCUCAGUAUUGCAGAAAGCUCGUUCUAGAAUACAUAUGUGCCAUACAUAGAGAAAUUAAACCUUGGAAGAGACAACAAAGCCAUGAUAAACAUUCAAAAACUGCUCUUACCUUGUCAAAAUUACUUCCUUUUUUAGUUUCUCGCUUCUCCAGCCUACCCUCAGCAUUCAAUUUUUGAAUGACCAAGUGGUCAAGUACCUAAACAAAGAUGUUCCAAACAAAAGUUACAGCCUGCUAUAACUAAGCCGAUACAAAUAAAAGUUUGGGUUUUGAACCUAUCUCAUCCACAGGUGGACUUCCUAACAUAAAUCUUAGGACAUGAAUAGAUAACGACACAAAUGAAGUGAACAAGAGAAACUAAUAUUAUUGAACAACCCCAAAAAAAAAAUGACAAAUAUUGCAAGUUAAGAAUUGGCAACAGUGAUAAAGUUGAAUCAUUUCAUGUAGGUGAGGAUGCAGAACUAAGGAAUUCAUUGGUGCUGAUAAAUAAUUCAUGCAAACAUAAUCUGAGCAUUGAUACGUCUAAAACUAGUGUACCAUUUUUCUUUUCGCGCGCUCCAGGAUCUCUUCUUCAACACUUUUGCUAGUGACAAAUCUAUAAAUGUUCACGACCUCUUGUUGACCAAUUCUGUGCGCUCGACUCAUGGCCUGAUAUAAUAGGGUUGGGAUUCCAUUAACAGCAGUAGUAAUAAAGAGUAAUAAUUCACAGGUAAGGAAUUUAUGUUGGAGGCAAACCUGCAGGUCAUUCUGUGGAUUCCAGUCAGAGUCAAAUAUGACGACUGUAUCAGCAGUAGCAAGAUUGAUACCCAGUCCACCAGCUCGAGUUGAAAGAAGAAAGCAAAAGUCGUCACUAGCAGGUGCAUUAAAAUGAUCCAUUGCCUGCUGACGCAGUUCUGCCUUAGUACUACCAUCUAGUCUCUGGAACUGGAAACCUCUAAGAGACAAGUAUUCCGCCAGGAUAUCUAACAUUCUAACCAUCUGCAAGGAAAACAGUACAAAAUGAUUUUAUAAGAGUAACCAAUGCAAAAAGCCUAACGACAAGGUAAAAGAGCUUCUAAUCCAAAAGAGCUCCAGUUUUCAUAAACAAACUUGAUCUCUAAACAGUUGUAGAGAAAGUAACUUCUGUGUAACAGCAACAAAGGAAGUGUUUUUUCACACAAUAAUAAACUAAGCAGUACAACCAAAAAUAACGUGAAGUACUAAUCCUAUACAAACGAUAAACCAUAGGUAUGUUUCUGAACCAUUUGAUGAGAUGUGGAAAUAAGCAUAACUGAAACUGUUAAAAAAAUUAUGAUAGGACCCACACUACAGAAAAGAAAACCACAUUUCAAUUAAGUAAAAUAUCCUCUAGAAAGAGUAAAAGUCACUGAACCGCACCUGAGAAAAGAUAAGCACACGAUGCUUAGUCUCACGCAGUCUAACCAGUAGCUUGUCUAGGAUAACUAGCUUUCCACUGCUUAGAAUAAUUUUAUCUAGCUUAGAGUUAUCGUUUAUAUCACCCCCAUAACCAUGGUCUGCACUCUCGAAUAAGAAAGGAUGAUUGCAGCAUUUCUUCAACUCCACCACGAUGUUUAAAAGUGAAACCUGUCGAUAGUAACUCAGAGAUUGUUAGCUUGACAAUUAUAAUACCUGCAAACUUAAAAAUUUGGAUGGAUAUUAAAGUAAUCCACCUAACUUAAAGUGCAGGGGAAAAGGAAAUAACUAUUUUAUAACCAAAAAUAUGAGAGUCACCCACCUGAUUACCGCGCACCCCUUUAUUUAAAUCAUGGAAGUUGCGCUCUAGUAUCCACUUGUAAUACCUAAAAUAGAACAGCAGAAUAUAAGUCCCAAUAUUUAAAGCUAUCCAAUCAAAAGCGUCGGCUGAAGUUAUUCUUACUGUUUUUGAAGAGGGGACAUCUCAACUCUUAGUAUACGUUCGAUUUUUGGAGGCAACGACUUUUCAACAUCUUUAAUUACUCGUCUUAGAAUAUGGGGUCUCAAUUCUAAAUGAAGAUUGGCGAGCUAAAUUCCAAAAAAAAGUAUAAGCCAGUGGACAACUGAUUUAAAUUAUACUUCAGCAAGGCAGCAUACUACUAAUUCAUGGACAAAGCUUACCUCAGAUUCAUUGAAUGAGCUAAGGUUCUUGUAGUUUUCAACGAACUCCUCCUUAUUUUUAAACUUGCCAGGAUCAAGAAAGUGGAGCAAAGCCCUGCAAAAAAUUGAAUAAGUCCUUCAUCAUAAUAGUAGAAAACAAAAAUAUAAAAAGCGUAGCAUAUGAUACAAGAAAGUAAUUCAUUUAUUGUGUUAGCAACGAAUCACUAUGUCAUCAAUAAAACAAAUAAUGAUAAAAAAGAAAGGAAAUCUAAUAUAAGCUUUGCCAGUGACAUUAGAAACACGUCAUCAGAACUGUCAAGAGUGGAUCAACCACAUAGACCAAAAUCAACACUGUCAAAGAUUAUAAACAAGCAAUGAAACAAAGAACAUAAACCUUUGACCAAAAAAAAAAAAAGAAAACAAAGAAACAAAGAACAUAAACUUGCAAGUUUCAGGAUUAAUAUGAAUCCGAAAUAAGAAAGAAGGCCAUAGCCAGAGAAACGCUUAAAAGGGAAGAAAGCAUACCAAAGCUCUUCGACACUAUUCUGUAGUGGAGUACCAGUAAUAAGCAAUUUGUUCUUCGUACUAAAUUCCUGAAACAGAUAAGAUACAGGGCUAAUUCUGAACAACUGAAAUCGGAACCAUGAAAAUAAAUAAAAAUUCUUUAAAAAGUCACACAUACCAAAAGGGCUGUGUAGAGCUGUGCCUCACUAUUUUUCAGCCGAUGUGCUUCAUCCACCAUCAAGUAAAUCCACUUAAUCUUGGAGAGGACAGCUUUAUCCUUCAGAACUACUUCAUAAGUAGUCAACAGUGCAUUGAAUUUUAUGGGCCGUCCUACUUUCUUUUCAUUGUAAAAUUCGUAUUGCUGGCAUACCUGAAGCCAGAGAUUUACCAAAAUCAAUAACACCAGAUGGAUAGAGAAGUAUAUAUGUUGUUAAAAAUUGAAAUAGAUAUAUAUUACUGUCAUACAAAAACGUCAAAGAUCUAUAAAUAAAAAACUACAGCACAGCGCCUAUUCAAAUCAGAUAGAGAAAAGGUUGACUAGAUAAAUGAAAGAUUCAGAUAGACAAUGAGGAUACAUGAAGAACUCUUAACACCCUAAAUAUUCUUAGAAGCUAUAUAACAUGAACAUCAUAUGUUUUGUUUCUCACCUCUCGACUAGCCCGGGUGCCAACAUAUACUAUUAUAUUCAUGCAAGGAAGCCACUUUCUAAAUUCUUUAGCCCAAUUAGCUAGUGUUGACAAAGGCACAACAACAAGGAAUGGACCUGGAAUUUGUUGGGUAUUCUGCGAGAAAAAAAGAAGAGAAAUCUUAGCUCAUGAAAUGUGGUAAUGUUAAGAAAAAGAUAACAAGAUUUCAACUCAUGAGCAAACUUGAACACUCAGCUUGAAACGAAAAGAAUUCUCACCUGCAAAAACCCAAGCAUUGAAACUGACUGCACUGUUUUACCAAGACCCAUUUCAUCAGCCAAAAUGACAUUAGUAUCAUUAAGCCAGCUGGAAAAUGGAAGGAAGCAAACCAUUAGACCGAGCAGAAAAGUAAAGCAUAACCUCAGAAACUAGGAAGUAAGAUACGUAACACACCUGUUGACAAGAAAAUUCAAACCCUCCAGCUGAUAGUCCCGCAGAGUACCUCCACUUAGCCACUCAGGCUGCUCAUCAAGCUUCCUCAAACUUGCUACACAAAACAGUAACCACAACUAAGCAUUAGAAAAAUAUUUUUCACCUACCCUAUAUCUCGGAUAUAAAGUGGGAACGGAGGCAUACUUUGGAAUGAAAGACAAAACAGAGAAUUACCACAUUCAACAUAAACAUAGCUAAGUGACACCAUAGAAAUAAAGUGAUGCCUCUCUUAAAUAUUUCGUUAAAUUUAAUAUUACACUGUCUCAGUCACAUUCUUAUGUGAAUGAAUAAAAGACAACGACGCUGCAGUUUAUAAUCAAAUUAUACAUGAGUUCUCUUUUGGAUUGGCGAGAUGAAGAAUGCAGAGACCAAAACAAAAAAAGAACCAGUUAACAAGGUAAGGUAGUUUCUCUAAUGAAGAUUAAUUUAUCAUAUGUUUACAAAAUAAUGUGAAAAAAAAAAAAUGCAAAACAGAUGAUUUUAUGUAACAAACCUUUUCCUUUUGUACGCUGCUGUUCCACCAUUUUCCCUUGCACUGCAAUUGAAACUUCACGAGCCUGAAUCAUAGAUAGAAAUUACUUCAAGUAUUAAAGCAACUUAAAUUUUUUUAUGGAUCUGAUUCUGCAGAAAUAGACCAAUGUAUACACUAGUCUAAAUAAUAGAUUAGGGAUUGACAAGCAUAAUCGCACUGUUAUAAACCUGAACAUUAAGACUCACUAAAAUAAUUUGCAUAAUAUUUUGUUAAGAAUCUGUAUUUCCAUGUAGAAUAAUACAAAACAAGAUGUAAACUGCAUUUUUCGAAGAACUGACACAGAAUUUGAACACAAUAUUCUUAGUACUACUUCAGAGAGAGAAUAAGGACAUAGUUGGAAAAAGAGUUACAAAAUAAAAGCCAAAUGGUAAAGUUAAAGCAUAAUUAUAACAAAAAAUCAGACUCUACCUUGUACUCAUCAAUAGCAACUUGUGCAAAUGCUAUAUCGACAUCCUUCUCCCUAAAAAGAAAAAGACAGGAAGAAAAUGAUACUUGGGAGGUAAAGGAAUACAUAAGUACAAAUUCUAGAUCAUUUUAUAGCAUGCUUCUCAAUUUAUGAAACAACACUCAAUCACCAUAAAAAAAAAAAAGGAAACAAGCUUCAAGAAUCAUCCAGAGUGUUAGAGAACAUACCAAGUUGCUUCAGCAUAAGAUAGCCCUUGCCACUUAACUAGAUACUCUGGCACAACAUCCCCUAAACCAUCUUUGCUGAUUCGAUCUGCAAUUAUUCUUUCUACCUAAAUAAUACAAAUAAAUUAGCUCACAGGAGGAAUACUCCAAUAUAAAUUGCGAAAGCAAUAAUUGUAAACCAGUAGUGGAUGAGACGUGAAAUGAGAUUGCAAGUUUGAUGGAAUGAACACACUACCUGACUAUUCUGCUUAAUGAUGUCCAGAUCCAUUUCUUUGCUCACAUCAUUGACCUCAAUCUACAAAGGUUGAAAAAUGUAUCAAGUGAAAGAAUUUCAGAUUUAUGAACCAUAAUAAGAUUUUUGGCAGAUCUGUUUGACAUAUAUCCCUACACAGACGAUAGCAUCACAUGUUUAAUAUGAUAAUGCCAAAAUACAAACAAAAAGUUAUCAUCUUGCGUGGUAAACAUGGUUUCACAAACUAAAUAAGGAAUAUAACCAUGAUAUGGACCAUUAGUGUUGCAUCUUAUGGCAUUCUUCCAUGUACAUAUAAAGAUAAUAAAAAGCAGAAAUCUCCCAGACAUUCAAACAUUACCUCCUCUCUUGAGAGUGCUGUCCUGUACCUAAUCUCCUCCGUCACUUUCUUCGUAUAGUUAAGAACCUUCUUGAACCCACUAAGCUGAAGGAGCACAGACCAUAGGUAACAAAGCAAAAAUUAGAAAUGAAAAUCGCAUUUUCACAAAGAAAUGCAAUAGAUUGAUCAAGCAUAAAUUAAAAAAGGUGUCCAAGGGAUGUACAUUUUGGAGAUCGCUCAACGUUUUCCACUGACAGUGCAAGUGUGAUUGGCCUUUCCAUUUUAUAAGGAAUUCCAUUUCAUUCCAAUCUGGCUCAGAAUCAAACAGUUGGCUUACUAGAACAGGAACUGUUGAUUUGUUAUUUGUUGGAGCAUCUUCACCCAUACCCUUCAGCUGAUGCCAGAGCACUUUUUCAAUAGCAUCCGCAUCCUCCUCUUCAAUGUCAUCCUAACGAGCAUAUAACAGACGAAAGAGAAAAACUGAGAAUAUAAGUUCGUUAAACAGCAAGGCAAGGCUUCCAAAGGUCGUUGCUUUCACUCAAAGUCUAGUAGUUCAUAUUACUGGCUGUUCCAGUCGAAUAGUUGGAGUUAAUCAAAUUAAAAAAAACAUAAAUUCUCCAGAUGCAGCUCACCAAUACGGAAAUUUACUAAAUUUAUCAUGUUUCCAACAUAAAGAUAGUAUGUACAGUGUGCAGAUUAUAACUAUAAAUUUAAGUUAUUUAGACAGCAUUAGAAAAGGCUAAUGACACUGCUCCCAGAUUUUUUUAAAUGCAUCAGAUUCCCACAGGAAAACAUAAGCACAUUGAGUGGUGCGAAAAUGGAUAACCUUAAAAAAUAACAAGAUACAUACCUUUUGGUUUUUACGAUUUUUCCCAUCAUCUAUAUCUUCACUGUCUUCACUCUCUACAUAAGAGACUUUACGAACUGAUCGGGUGGAGCUGCGAACUUCACUACUCUGUCCUAUGUCAUUGGUUGACCUGCCAUUGUUUUGUCGGAGAGUUGUGCCUCUUCUGGCCAGGCUUCUAAAACCCUCAUCGUUGUCAUUAUCAGAGUCCUCCUCUGAGCCGUCAACUUGAUAUGACGUUUUCCUCUUUUGUCGAUUAGAAGCAUGGAAUGAUUUUCGUUCGAGUCCAGAGCUUGAUUUCCGGAAACCUUUACCUUGUUGCCUAACCUUGGGCUUUUUUGUGCCAUAGUCAUCCUCGUAAUCGGAAAGAUCGAUAUCAUCAUCACUCUCAGGAUCUUCAUCAGAAACGUCCCAACCUUGGCCAUGCUAUCAAACAACCACCCAGUUGUAAGAAUUCCCAUCAAAACUAUAACAAGUUACAGGGCUAGAACACAAAAUGUUACUAGAGCAAAGACUUCUUCUGAAUAGCAAACUUAGUUAAAAAAUAUCUCAGAAAAGUAUCUCCAUUAUUUUGUUCAGUUUUAGCUUCAUUGUAAAGAAUAUGUAUCACAACACAAGAAUGGUAAGAAGUCAAACCUUUUUCCUUGCACCACCAUCAUCAACAGUAUCAUCGGGCUCAAAAUCAGCAUCUUCAGGGUCAUCCCCUGAUGAGAAAUAAGAUAAAAUGUUACUGAAGUUUAGACCAAGCACUUGGCGUAGGAAGUACUCAGAGGAAAAAACAUAGACACAAGUUCUAGUAAACAAUGUUGUCAAUCUAUCAAUGAAUGAAAUUUACAAGAGUUUACCAUCUUCCUCCUCUUCAUAGUCUAUAUCGGCAUCACCAUUGUGGUCAUCAUUACUCUCAGUAUAGUGAAUGUUUUUGUGAAUUGCUCUUGAGGCCCUUGAGUUGCUAUGGAUAGAAGAUCCUGUCUUCGGCAGUGAUCUAGAAUUUGUAGGAUUACUAUACCCUUUGUAGUUCACAUGGUCGCUUUGAUUAUCUUCAUCCUGUUCAUAAUAUUCAUCAGACAACAUUUCAUCUGCUGGGACAUCAGCUUGACCACUUUGAUGUUUGUUCAUUUCAUUGUCCUCCUCAUUUUCAUUUUCAGAAUCUAACUUUUCACUCCGUUCAUUUGAGAGAUUAUCUUCAGAAUGGUAUGCUUCUUUGUAACCGGAUUGUGAAUCUUUGGCAGGAUCAGAGCCCUCUCUCUGUCCCAUUGGUUGACAGUCUUUCCAAAAUGUGGAACCCCACCUCCCUGUUACACCCAUUCUCCUUCCCGAAGGUUGAUAAUGGGAAUCCACAGGACCCGGUACAUCAUCAAUUGCUGUCUGAUUUUGCUGCCUAACACUACAUCCUGGUUCUGGGUCAGUUUGAUACUGUACAUCCAUGUUCAUAUCAAAGCCUCUUUCACUAUAGGUACCAUCCACAUCUUCAUUCAAAGGUGAACUCUGAAAAGUGGCAGCAUUUUGCCGCUCCUCAUUUUCAUCCAGAACAUUAUGUGAGACAGUGUCGUUUGAGUAGUUUCUAAAGAAAGCCAUCUUCUCACAUGAAGUCAGCAACUAAAGUAAGCUCUCUCUCGUGCAGUCGAAGACAGCAACAAUCUUUAAACGUCUCAAAAGAACUAAGAAGAAGAAAAAAAGAAGACAAAUGAGUUAUUAAGCAAAAUGAUGCUAAAAUUUUGAUAAAAACCACACUUGCUUAUGAUUAACAGGAAACUAAGCACACCAGAGAGAGAAGCAAAGCAAUGUUUCAACUGAAAUUAAGCUUAUUCCAUAAUCCCAGGAACAUGUGACAUGAAUGAAUAUAUCAUCUCCAUCAAUGCCAAAACAAAGCAGAUCCAACGGAAGCUGAUUUUCAGAUAAACAAGGUAAGAUGCUACUCUACUCUUCAGCAAGAACAAACAAAACAAAAUGAUAAAAUGUCUACGCAAUCAGGAAACUCAUUCCAGUAUCUAAGCAAGGUCGAGCUCAGAUCCAUCACGCAAACAACGAUUAAAACUCGAAAUCGAAUCCUAAAGCCCUCUAAAUCUCGAAUGGUUCAAUUGAACAAAAAAAAAAACGGUAGAUGAACCCUAGAAUUAGGUAUCCGAAUCGAGAAAAUCAUCCCAAGCGCUGUCGAAGAAGGAGCACAAAGGAGUAAUAGAGAAGAAGCUAUUUCAAACACAGUCACAUAAGAGAAGAUAAACUCUGGGCAACAAUUCUCACGCAAGUUUUGUUUCUUCUUCAGAAACAAAUUCAAAAUCAAGCACGAUUACAGAAAUCUCACCGGAAAAUCUAAUCCUCGAAGACGAAUUCAAAAAAACUGGGAAGAUAAGUUUGUAAUCUAUUCGUAAACGUAUUCUGGGAUUUUUUUCGGAAGUGUGUAUCGGACUCGAAAGAAAACGGAUUCUGGUGGUGGUAGAUCGUAAUUCCGAUGACGGAGAGGUCGGCGAGGUAGGUGAAAGACGAUCACCGUCGUACGAGUUUUGGUUUUUUUGGAUGGAUCGUCGGCUGCGAGAAGAAGAGAGGUCUCGGAGGAUUUGAAGUGAGAGAGAGAGAGAGAGAGAGAGAGAGAGAGGAAGCGUAUAUUUGUGUUUGGGGGAAGAGAGAGAUUGGGUUAUCGGACGAUUAAUAUUAUUUUGUUUUUCUCUUUAAUCAAAACGUUUUUUUUCUUUUUCUUUAUAUAUAUUUAUUUAUAUGAGACUGCUCAUUUCAUCAUUCAUUUUUAUUUAUUUAUUUAGUGUUAGGGUUGAAAAAGUUUUUAAUUUAG